rnacentral:lncRNA from 1 species
AAUGAUCGGCACAACUGCAACAGUUAACACAUAAGUAGACAAACAGUAAUAAGGUAGAGUGAUGUAGUGAUGAUGAAGAUACCAGUUUUAUUGCAGUAACAAGCUAGUCGAUGAAAAACACAAGCCUACUUUCAGUAUCUAUACGAGUAGGUUAAUUAAGCAGCACGAACUACUUUCCGGUUACAAAAAGCACACCUCACUGCCUCAUAUAUUAGGGGGGAUACAUUCAUAUAUACUGUAGCUCUUGCCGGGCAGGUUCCAGAUUAGUUUCGCCGGCGAUCAGGCCCGAACGUGCACUUCAGGCAGCAGGCGCACAGUCAUAGUCGUCAUCAUCGUCGUCGCCGUCCGACUCGGCCUUCCUAUGCCGCCCGCCGCACCAGGCGUCACACGGCACGGUGGCGUAAACGGCAUAGUCGGGAAUGCGUCCGUCUUGGACGACGAUGAGGCUCAUGACCUUCGACGCCGGUGCCAUGACGAGGAGCUAGCUUCGAGUCUAAGCGCAAGCUAGCUAUAGCUGGUACUGGCAGUCGUGAUGUGGCUGUUGUGGACUUGUGGUGUGUGUUAUCUUCAGAGUAUAGCCGCGUAUGGUGUGGGUUUUAUAGGACGACAGGAUGUGUGGAGAAAUGUGGCGGCACGCGGCGGGUUGCGCCAGGAGCGUGCGUCGGACAUGCCGCUGCGUGCAUGGCCUUGGCGCGGCACGGGCGCGGCCGUGCACACUCAGCACUUCAGCAGCCGGGGAGCCACGGCGGCACCGCCAUGCCGCUGAGCGCUGACAGGUGAGCGCCCGGGACCGGCGCGGUCUACAUGCCAGUGCCUGCGGCGGCUGCGGUACCGGGUGGCCCGGAUCGCCCGACGUGGUGGAGGAAUCGCGAGGAGGAUGGAGGGCCAGCCGGGCAGCGAGCUAACGGGAGAUGCCAAAAAGUUAGAACCGUCGACGCAAAUCUGUGUAGAUAUUUCGCACUUUAUUGCAGUUCAGUGCGGAUAUAUUCUGUCGUCUGCAUGCGUUCGUUGCGUCUGCUUCUUCCCUCCGGCGAUCAAUGUCAAUCCCAGUCGCCACACGGGCGGUACGUGCUCAAAAACAUGUUUUCGGUACGUUGAUGAUCGAUCAUGGUCGAUCCGUCGUUGCCGAAUACGGCAGUACCGCAUGGAGUGCCGACUAUUAAUAACAUGGUCACACUACUGGAAUCGGCAACGUUGUCUAGUGUCGGGAGAUUGCCUGCUCCAAUGUUGACAUCUAAAACAGACACAUUAUUUGUUCGCGGACCCGUGAACACCAAUUCACGGACACUGAUGCGGAAGACGACCAUCCAAUAUCAUCGUGUCAUGGUGGAGGAGAGAGACAGAGGAUGUAUGAAUUUCUGGGGUGACGGUUUUUGGUUGGCUAGACGGUUGUCCGGACUCUCGCAAAAUCUCCUUCCUUUAAUUUACUUCUAGUUUGAGAGAGUUUGUAAGUCUAGACGUGUUUUGGACACUUGAAAGAUAGCAUUGGAUGGCAAAAAGUAUCUGAACCAGGACAUAUAGGGAUGAUUUGACGGUGUGCAUUGAAAAUGCCCUUAUCCGGGAGCUCGACAAUGAGCACCGUUUACCGAGUGGCCACCAGGUAAACUCCCCAAACGUGAAAAGCUCAAAGUUAAGCACCGUUUAUCGACCUUUACAUGACACAUAGUAUUAGAAAACCUCAGCCUCAAAGGUGGACUACUCCCAGAUCGUCAUGGGAACAUCAAAGGGUUGAUGUACUGGUCGAUGGAAAUCAGUUCCAAAAAAAGGUCGAUGAAAAUUGAUUCCCUCCUUCGGCAACGUGGCAGAACAUGGCCAAAACCUAGGGAAAACCAGGCAAAAAUAAAAUGCCAAAAAAGCUUAAAAAACUAUCUAGACCCAAAAAAAGAGCGCAAGAAAAGACCGAAAGUCAAAGAAAGCAACCAACAUGCGCUACACAUUAGGGCAAUUACCCUUUUGGAAGCUCCGUAAGGUAUCCAUGGGUUAGUUGCUGUUGCUGGUGUGGGGAGCUCGGGAACGGUGGCUAGUGCUGCGCUUUCUCAUUUUCUACUCUCUUCGUCCCACAAUGUGAGACAUUUUUGUAAGGUUUCUUGCGUUUUAUGAAUUUUGUGAUUCAUAUAACAUGCAAAUCCACUCGUCGUUCUACGAUUGACGACGGGGUUGUACUAUCUAGGAUGUUGGCGGUCUGUUUGAUUUGAGCCCCAAGUAGCCCGACCGAUAUAUUUGCAUGACCAAAUUUUUAGUAAGAUGGUGUUGUUUGGUUUAUAGCCAUUGUACCAAAUUUUUGGUAAAGUUGUUGGACUUCCAUUUGGUUUGGAACCAACUGAGUCUGCGUAUCGCAACGUGUAUUGGGUUAGGGCUUGGUUUAAUUAAUUCUGGUUUACUUUCAGCAAGUUUGCACACUGCAACAUGUAUGAUUGGGUUAGUGCUUGGUUUAAUGCUGGUUUACUUUCAGUGUUAAGUUGCUAAAAGAGUGAGAUGCAUAUAUCAAUUGAGGUCUCUAGUUUAAUCAGCCCACAUUCAAUUGAGGUCUCUAGUUUAAUCAGCCCACAUUCAAUUGAGGUCUCUAUUUAGAAUUAGAUCACCCUUUGAUGGGAUCAAUAAUUUCUUAAGAGUUCUUAAAUUAUAUUCCUUAAAUUCACUAUGCUCUUGAAUUUUGGAGCUCUUAUAUGAUUGAAGUAUUAAAUUUUGGAUUUAGUUCAUGAUUUUAACCGGGUCAAUAUUUUUUCAAAUCAACCAGCAGCAACCAACCUAUGAAAACAUGUGAGCCCGCGCACCCUCUCGCCACCUAGACAAAAGAUGUGCCAACAUGUAAUACCGUAGCACUAAUAUAAUAUAUGCAUCCACCGACACAGAAAAUUGCCACACCUAAAUAUGGGUUAAAUAGUAGAUAACACCGAAUCACAUAGCGGAAUGCCCAUCAAAACACCUCACUAUAAAAAAAGGACACACUCCAUCGUCUCUCCCACUCGCCAAAUCAAAUAUUCUUGAGUUUUAAAUGUUUCAAAAGUGAAUUUUUCAUUAACUUUGAUCAAGUUCAGAACCAAAAAUAUCAACAUCCACGUAUAUCUAAUACACUAUGCUCCAUAAUUGUAGAGGUCUCACAAUCAGUUGACGUUUUCAAUUCGGAAUUGAGUCACUCAAUUUUGACUGGAUCAACAAUUUCUAAAGAGUUCUCAAAUUCAAUUCUUUUAAUUCAAUAUGCUCUUGAAUUUUGUAGCUAUCUUAUAUGAUUAAGGUAUUUAUAUUUGUAUUUCUUUCAUGAUUUUGACCGGGUGAACAAUUCUUCAAAUCAAUCGGUAGCAACUGACCUAUAAAAACAUAUCACCCCACAACACCCUCUGGCCACAUAGAAAAAAGAGGUGCCAACAUGUAAUACCGUAGCACCAAUAUAAUACAUGUAGCCACCAACAAAGAGAAUUAACACACAAAAAUAUGGGUUAAUUAGUAGAUAACAUUGAAUCACACAACGGAAUGCCAACCAAAACACCGCACUAUAAAUAAAAAGAAGACACACUCCGUCGUCUAUCCCACUCUCCAAAUCAAAUAUUCCCGAGUUUCAAAAUAUAAGGUGCAUUAUUUUUUUGGAAAGUGAAAUUUCAUUAACUUUGACUAUGCCCAGAGCCAAAAAUAUCGACAUCCCCGUAAAUCUAACACACUAUGCUCCCUAAUUUUAAAGGUCUCACAAUCAAAUGACGUCUUCAAUUUGGUUGGGUCACUCGAUUUUGACCCGGUCAACAUUUUCUUAAUGCAUCUCAAUAAUUUUAUAAAUCAAUCGGCAGCAACCAACAUAUAAAAACAUAUCAUCCCGCAACGCCCUCUUGUCACCUUGAAAAAAGAGGUGUCAACAUGUAAUAUUGUAAUACCUUUAGUCCCGGUUUGUGUCUCAAACCGGGACUAAAGUCCUCUGCCUAUACAUAGCACAACCCCCCUCUCCACUCUUCCUUGCAUUUUUCUUGGAUGGAGGAUUGUGGGUGUGUGCUAGCUCUCCACUUUUUUUUUAUGCACUAGAGGUGUUUGUUGAAAUGUGUGUUAGAGCGAUGCCGCCUCAGUUCACCGAACACAACUACGAUAUGAGAUGCCUGAGCCACGCUUAAACCUCUUCCUCUUUAUUUCUACUUAUUCUAAAAGGUUAGCAACUAUAUUUCCUCGUUUAGGCCGUGCGGUACUAAUUUUUAGGAUCGUAAUUGUAUUUGAUAUACUGUCGUAUAACGCAGAUGAGCCAUCCAUGGAUGUACGGUGAUCGACGCACAGCCGCUUACAGAGAAGGCGUGCAUUCUUUUCGAGAUGCAGCCGAUGCGAACAAGCAUGGUGGUGGCUUUAUGUUUUGUCCAUGUGUUGAAUGUCGGAAUGAGAAGGAUUACACUUCCUCAAGAGUCAUUCAGAGCCACCUGCUUCGGUCCGGUUUUAUGUCGGACUAUAAUGUUUGGACCAAGCACGGAGAAAGAGGGGUUAUGAUGGAAGACGACGAUGAAGAAGAAAAGAACGAUGAUGACAACUACCGAUCUAUGUUCCCUGAGUAUGCUGAUACCGCAAUGGAAGACAAUGAAGAAGAAGAUCAGGAUGAAGAACGGGAACCAGAUGAGCCUGCUGAUGAUCUUGGCCGGGUCAUUUCUGAUGCACAGCGAGGUUGCGACACAGAAAAGGAGAGGUUACAGUUCGAGCAGAUGUUACAGGACCACAACAAAUUGUUGUACCCAACUUGUGAAGAUGGCCAGAAGAAGCUGGGUAGCACACUGGAAUUGCUGAAGUGGAAGGCAGAGACCGGUGUGACUGACUCGUCAUUCGAGAAGUUGCUGGUACUAAUGAAGAAGAUGCUUCCAAGAAAGAACGAAUUGCCCGCCAGCACGUACGAAGCAAAGAAGCUUGUCUGCCCUCUAGGAUUAGACGUGCAGAAGAUACAUGCAUGCCCUAAUGACUGCAUCCUCUACCGCGGUGAGAAGUACGAGAAUAUGGAUAAAUGCCCGGUAUGCACUGCAUUGCGGUAUAAGAUCAGAAAAGAUGACCCUGGUGAUAUUGAGGGCGAGCCACCCAGGAAGAGGGUUCCUGCCAAGGUGAUGUGGUAUGCUCCUAUAAUACCACGGUUGAAACGUCUGUUCAGAAAUAAAGAUCAUGCGAAGUUGUUGCGAUGGCACAUGGAAGAUCGUAUGAAAGACGAUAAGUUGAGGCACACCGCUGAUGGUCGGCAGUGGAGAAAAAUCGAGAGAGAGAGUUCCCGAGAUUUGCAGCUGACGCAAGGAACUUAUGGUUAGGUCUGAGUACAGAUCGCAUGAAUCCUUUUGGGGAGCAGAGUUGCAGUCACAACACCUGGCCCGUUACUCUAUGUAUCUACAACCUUCGUCCUUGGUUGUGCAUGAAGCGGAAGUUCAUUAUGAUGCCAGUGCUUAUCCAAGGUCCAAAGCAACCCGGCAACGAUAUUGAUGUGUACCUAAGGCCAUUAGUUGAUGAACUUUUACAGCUGUGGGCCAAACCAGGUGUACGUGUGUGGGACGAGCACAAACAAGAGGAAUUUGACCUUCGAGCGUUGCUUUUCGUAACCAUCAAUGAUUGGCCUGCUCUUAGUAACAUUUCAGGACAUUCAAACAAGGGAUUCAAUGCAUGCACGCACUGUUUGGAUAAGAUAGAAAGUAUAUAUCUGGACAAAUGUAGGAAGUAUGUGUACCUGUACAAUCGUCGUUUUCUUCCGCCCAAGCAUCCCUUAAAGAAAAAAGGCAAGCAUUUCAAUGGCAAGGCAGAACCCCGGGGGAAGCCUGUCAUCCGUACUGGUGCUGAAGUAUUUGAUAUGGUCAAAGAUUUAAAAGUAAUCUUUGGAAAGGGUCCUGGCAGCCAACCUGUUCCUAACGGCCCUGAUAAGCGCGUACCCAUGUGGAAGAAGAAAUCUAUAUUUUGGGAGCUACCCUACUAGGAAGUCCAUGAGGUCCGCUCGGCAAUCGACGUGAUGCACCUGACGAAGAAUCUCUGCGUGAAUAUUCUAGGCUUCCUGGGCUUGUAUGGGAAGUCAAAAGAUACACCGGAAGCACGGGAGGACCAGGAACGUCAUAAAGGAAGAGAUGGCAUGCAUCCAGGGCAGUUUCAAGGGCGUGCCAGCUACGCACUUACUAAGGAAGAGAAGGAAAUCUUCUUUGAAGUCCUUUUCAGUAUCAAGGUCCCGACUGGCUUCUCGUCGAAUAUAAAGGGAAUCGUAAAUAUGAAAGACAAAAAAUUCCAAAACCUAAAGUCUCAUGACUGCCACGUGCUUAUGACGCAAUUGCUUCCGGUUGCAUUGAGGGGAAUUCUACCGGAAAAUGCUCGCCUGGCAAUUGUGAAGGUAUGUGCAUUCCUCAAUGCAAUUUCUCAGAAGGUAAUCGAUCGAGAAAGUCUAUCAGGGUUACAGAUUGAUGUGGUCCAAUGUCUGGUCAGCUUUGAGUUGUUGUUCCCGCCAUCCUUCUUCAAUAUAAUGACACACCUCCUAGUUCACCUAGUCGAAGAGAUUAGAAUUCUCGGUCAUGUGUUUCUACACAAUAUGUUCCCCUUCGAGAGGUUCAUGGGAGUCUUAAAGAAAUAUGUUCGUAAUCGUGCUAGGCCAGAAGGAAGCAUCUCCAAGGGCUAUGGAACAGAGGAGGUCAUUGAGUUUUGUGUGGACUUUCUUCCUGACCUUAAGCCGAUUGAUGUUCCUGAAUCUUGGUAUGAGGGUAGGCUGACAGGAAAAGGCACACUAGGAAGGAAAGCAAAAUUAUGUAUGGACGGGCAUUCUUUCUCUCAAGCACACUACACAGUUCUACAUAAUUCCACCGUGGUGGCUCCGUAUAUCGUGAGACACAAGAAUAUUCUACGCUCCGAAAACCCGGGGAAGGCUGACUCUUGGAUUAAAGGGGAACACGAGAAGACUUUCGGCAGUUGGUUGCAGACACAUCUCAUGAAUGACGACACCGUUGGAGAUCAGCUAUACUGUUUGGCCAGGCCACCAUCUUCGACUAUAUGUACUUUCCAAGGGUAUGAGACAAAUGGGAAUACAUUUUACACGGUUGCCCGAGAUAAAAAGAGCACCAACCAAAAUAGUGGUGUCCGCUUUGAUGCAACAGACGAGAAUGGGCACUGUUUGGAAACAUAUUACGGGUACAUAGAGGAGAUAUGGGAAUUUGACUAUGGACCUACUUUUAAGAUCCCUUUGUUUCGAUGCAAAUGGGUGAAGCUGACAGGAGGCGGGGUAGUUGUAGACCAAAAGUACGACAUGGCAACAGUGGAUCUCAACAAUCUUGCGUACAUGGACGAACCAUUUGUCCUAGCCAAUGAUGUCGCUCAGGUUUUCUAUGUGAAGGACAUGUCUACAAAAACGAGAAGAAGAAAUCAGCAAAAGAAGAUAUCGUCCGAUGAGCCAAAACGCCACAUAGUUCUUUCAGGAAAAAGAAACAUCGUGGGAGUAGAUGAUAAGACAGACAUGUCAGAAGAUUAUAAUAAGUUUCAUGAAAUUCCGCUCUUCAAAGUGAAAACUGACCAAAGCAUCCUACUGAAUGAUGAAGAUUCUCCAUGGCUACGACCUAGAAGAAAAUAGAAAUAAUAGAUAGGAAUAUUGGUGCAAUAAUGUAAUAAUGUAUUAAACCUUUUAUGUAAUGCAUGUAUGGAAUGUACUAAAUUUCAAACACUUUUCAUUUUCAUAGUUUUAUCAAAUUCUCAAAUACACAAAAAGAAUUUUAAUAAACCUUUGUAAGAGAUGAGUUCUCGUUCGAAACCCUCAUACUUCGAGAGAGAUUGUCCAUUUUGUACACGAAGUGCAUCCAGUUUUUGUCGUAGCCCUCUCAACUUUUUAACACAUGCUAUGUGGGUGAAAUGAUGAUAGCAUGCCAACUUUCAACAUUUUCAGAGUUCAUUUGUAGUGCUUUUCAAUUUCAGGGUCAACUAGCUCAAAAAAAUAAGUAAAUGCACGAAGAAUACCAAAUGAAGUCAAAAAUUGUUGAAAUUUUGUGAUGUGCCUUUGAAUGGUGCAUUUUGAACACACAAAAAGUAUGGAGUUCAAAUAAGUUUAAAAAAAUGAAUUCCCUUUGUAAGAGAUGAGUUCUCGUUCGAAACUCUGAUACUUCGAGAGAGAUUGUUCGUUUUGUACACGAAGUGCAUCCAGUUUUUGUCGUAGCCCUCUCAACUUUUUAACACAUGCCACAUAACCUUAUAGGAGCAUACCACAUAACCUUAGCAGGAACCUUCUUCCUGGGGUAUCGUCAUCGCCCUCAACAUCAUCAGGGUCAUCCUGUCCGAUCUUGUACCGACAUGCAGUGCAUACCGGGCAUUUAUCCAUAUUCUCGUACUUCUCACCGCGGUACAGGAUGCAGUCAUUAAUGCAUGCAUGUAUAUUCUCCACAUCUAAUCCAAGAGGGCAGAUAGACUUCUUUGCUUCGUACGUAGUCUCGGGAAAUUCGUUAUCCUUUGGAAGCUUCGGCUUCAAUAUUUUCAGUAACUUCUCAAAUCCCUUGUCAGAUAAACCAGUUUCUACCUUCCAUUUCAAUAGUUCCAGUGUGGUACCAAGCUUUGUGCUGCCAUCUUCGCAAUUUGGGUACAACAACUUUUCAUGAUCCUUUAGCACGACCUCCAAUUUCAGCUUCUCCUUUUCUGUAUCGCAUUCUCUCUUUACAUCAGAAAUGACCCGACCAAGACCAUCAACGGGCUCAUCUGAUGCCGGUUGUUCUUCACCUCCUUCUUCUUCAUUGUCUUCCAUUGUAGUAUCACUGUAUUCUUCAGUGAACAUAGGAUAGUUGUCAUCACCAUCUUCUUCUUCAUUGUGUUCCAUCCUAACCCCUCUUUCUCCGUGCAUGGUCCAACAAUAAUAUGUGGGUAUGAAACCUCUCUGAAGCAAGUGGAGAUGAAUGUUUUUCGAUCUAGAGUAUUCCUUCACGUUUCGACAAACAACACAUGGACAAGGCAUAAAAUUAUCCACUUUGUUUGCCUUAGCCACAUCGAUAAAUUUGUGCAUGCCUUUUAUAAAUCCGGAACCGCGUCGUUCGCCGUACAUCCAUCACUUCCGUGCAUCGAUCUGGCAUCAUACAUGAAUAGUGAAAUGACCACCGUACAUUGACACAUGCAAUAUUUUUGUAUCAAUUACAGAUGAAAAGGAUAGGGUUGCUAACCUCGGUCGAGGAUACCAUUUUGUGUGAACUUAAGUGUGAUUCGGGCAUUAGUCGAGGUUCUUAAUGUACUCCGAAGUGUGUCGAUCACCGUACAUCCAUUGGCGAUUCAUCUCUAUUAUGAAAUUAAAUAUAUCAAAAAACCAUUGCAGAACAUAUGACCAAAUUAAUACAAGUUCAUCAUCACAUUAAAGCCAAAGAACAGUAGUGAUCAAAUGUUAUUAUUGCAAAAAAUAAAUACAUAAAGUUUUCUCAUAAAACAACAUACAACUAUGUAAAACAUUUAAAUAAAACAAAAAAUGCGAUCAAAAUCGCAACUAAGGUAACAAUUGACCAAACAGCAUAAUGAUACCAAGCCUCUUUAUCAAUGGCAUAUUUUCUAAUAUUUCUAAUCUUCAAGCGCAUUUUAUCCAUCUUCAAGCGCAUUGCAUCCAUCUUCAACCGCAUCACAUCGUUCUUCAUCUUGCGAUCAUCGAUGACAUCGGCGACAUGAAACUCCAGUUCCAUAUUCUUAUCCUCAAUUAUUUUCAAUUUUUUCUUCAAGUAUUUGUUUUCUUUUUCAACCAAAUUUAACUUCUCGAGAAGAAUUUCUAUGUGGUUUGGAAUUUCCGGUUCACAUACCUCCUAGAUUAAAAAAUAUAUGUCACAUUGGUCGUCAUAAUUGUCAUAAACACUAAAUAAAACAAAUAGUUAUAAAAGAUAAUAUAUACCACAUCCGAAUCAUAGACAGGACGAGGACCGACGGAGGCGGAUACCAAAACCAUCGCACUAUAUAAUAACAAAAAAUAAUGAAAGUGAGUAAUUUAUACAAGUAUGUAUCUAAAUCAUACAAGUAAGACUUUUUUCUUUUAAAAAGAAGAUAAGAACAAGAGGCUCACCACGGUGGUGCUCGCGACGAGAUCGGCGCGGGGCGAUCGACAAUGGUGAGGACGGGCACGGGACGACACCCUACACAUGUGCAGACUCUAAGAAGUUAAUUUGAGCAUUUGAAACCAGCUACACUAGCAGUGACAAAUGAAAGGAUGAAGUAGCUAACCUUUUAAAACACUUGUGCAGUUGGUGCACGGCCAAACCUAGACAAAUAUUAAGGAAAAUGGAGCUUGGAGGUCGAGCUUGGAGAGGAGAAAGCUUAAGUAGAGUGGCUCGGGCAUUUCAUAGAACACGUCAUGUGCAUGAACUAGAGUGGCAAGAGCAUGGCAUGGUCACACUUCAACAACCAAAAAACAGGGGAGAGGGUGGGCAGGCGCGAGGGUUUAUAUAGGCAACACUUUAGUCCCGGCUUUUGUCUAAAACCGGGACUAAUAGCCUAACCUUUAGUCCCGGUUCUUGCCACAAACCGGGACUAAUGCUCCGCGGCACGCCCCUGCUUCCCGCCUUUUGGUCUGCCGAAAAAGGGCCUUUAGUCCCGGGUCGUGGCUCCACCCGGGACUAAAGGGGGUCUUUAGUCCCGGAUCGAGCCCCGAACCGGGACUAAAGAUCCACCUAUAUAAGCGGGAGUCAGAAAAUUUCCAACCCAAAUCGCAUUUCCUUCUAUCCUUCUUCCUCGUUCUCCUGCCCAGCGCGGCACAGCGACGAACUCGGCGACGCCGUCAGGCUCCCCGCCGUCCUGCUCGCCGCCGCCUGUCGUCGCCGUCGUCCUCCUCGCCGCGCGCCGCCCUCCUCGCCGUGCGUCGCCGUCCUCCUCGCCGCGCGCCGUCGACACCUCCGGCCGGUAAGCCCCCCACCCCCUCCUCCCCAACACUCUGACCAGUAGAAGAAAAGAAGAAAAAGGAGAAGAAAGGAAGAAAAAGGAGAAGAAAAGAAGAAAAAGGAGAAGAAAGGAAGAAAAAGGAGAAGAAAAGAAGAAAAAGGAGAAGAAAAGAAGAAAAAGGGAAGAAAGGAAGAAAAAGGAGAAGAAAAAGGGAAGAAAACAAGAAAAAGAUUUUUUUUGUCAUUUAAUUCCUAUUGUUAUUAGGUUUGUGCUAGAUUAUUAGGGUUAGUAAUAUGUAGAAUUAGGAAAAAGGAAAAUAAGAAGAGGAGGAGAAGAAAAGAAGAAAAAGGAGAAUAAGAAGAGGAGGAGAGGAGAAGAAGAGGAAAAAUAGAAGAAGAGGAGAAGUAGAAGAAGAGAAAAAAAUUAGAAGAGGAGGAGAGGAGAAGUAGAAGAAGAGAAGAGGAGAAGUAGUAGAAGAAGAGGAGAAGAAGAAGUAGAAGAAGAGGAGAAAUAGAAGAAGAGGAAAAAUUAGUAUAGGGUUACAAGAAGAAGAAAUUUUUUUUGUCAUUUAAUUUUGCUAUUGUAUAGUGUAUAUGCUUAAGUGUUAAUAGUGUUUCUUAGAUUAUUGCUUAAUUUUGCUAUUGUAUAUGCUUAAGUGUUAAUAGUUUAAUUUUGCUAUUGUAUAUGCUUAAGUGUUAAUAGUUUAUUUUUAGCAAGAAAAUUAAUAGAACUAGUUUAAUUUUGAUAUUGUAUAUGCUUAAGUGUCCGAGACUAGGCUUCGCCUGGCUAGUAUUUUAGAGUUUAGGUUCUAGCCAAGACCCGGGACUAAAGAUCCUCCUAUAUAAAACGACACUUCGAAGUUUCCAACCCCUCUUAUAUAGUUUGUUAGUUUAUUAGUUAAUCAAAUGUCCGUUUUUUGCAGAACUAUGGAUCCACAUAUCAGGAACCUCGAAGAGGAAGAACUUCUCAAAGAUAUAAUCAAAGACGGCCCCGACGUUGAACCAGCUGAAUCUCCGUAGUCAUAUCUAAACCCCUCCAAAUAUGGAAUGGAGGUCGAGCGACACGAAGAUGAAGCCAAUGGGGCAGGAGAUAGGUCCAAUGACGAAGAAGGUGAUAGCUCCACUGAUGGAGAAGCCGGUGGAGAAGCCGGUGAAGAAAUAAUAAACUCCGGCGAGGUAUACAUAUGAAGUUCGACAAUCACUUGUAAUAUGUGAAAAAUAUUGGAGAUAGCUCUAUAUUGUAUGCAUAUACAUUCAUUUGACGAAUGUUUCUCCCUCUUAGGCCUCCACAUCGAGCAAAGCUACGAAACGAGGCCCGACUAGAAAGUUGGAUGCACGGACGCAUUACACCUUUGAGGUGAUAUUGCCUACGGACGAACCCAAGCUUCCUAAGAAUACUGCUGACACAUUUAAGAAGCAAUGCAGAGUUCUCGUUAGGGAUCACGUCCCGAUCAGCGUUUGGGAGUGGAACAAGCGCAAAGGGGCAGCCGAUAGUGACUAUGUCGCUGAAAGGUACAAAGAUAAUCUUUGGAAUGAUCUCAUGUCACAUUUCAACCUGCCAGAAUGUGAGAAUGAAGACGCCGCAGACAAACUGAGGGCCAAAGUCAAGCAGUGGACUUUAAAGAAGAUGGCCGAACUGUUCCGUAGCUGGAAGAAGAAGCUAUGGAAAAACUAUCUGAAGACAAAGAAAAGUGCCAGUAUUCGAGGGGUAUCUAGCCAAGCAGGCGAAUCACUCGACAAACGCGAGGCUUCGGUCCUUCUUACCCGUGGUGGCUUGGGUUUGCCAGAGACCAAGACACUUACAGAAGCCGAGAGAGAGCAAAGAAGCGGCGGCAGAGGAUGAGGAGAAUGACAAGUUCAACCAGUUGCUUGCGAGGAUUAACGAGCAACAGAAGCAGAUUGAUGAGCUUAGAGGAGUAGCGCGCCAGGAAGAUCCUGCACUUGAUAUUACCGGCGCACCAUCUAAGCGGAAAAGCAGCGUGGCUGAAUCUGAGGCCCCGCCUGACGAUGCACGAAGAAUGAUAGAGGGCGGUCCCAGCUACCCCGUGGAUGGAAUCAAGGAGUCAACAUCAUGUGAACUCCAUCAGAAAUUCAAGAACAUAUCCAUGAAGGUGGCCGUCAGACAAGCUUUACCUUCUGGUCCUGAUGCACGCUGGCAUGGCCGUGAGAUUCCAGCUGUCUUUGCUAAAGUCGGGGUGGAUGAAAUCAUGGCGGGGUUUCAUGAUAUGGAGCUCGACAUAGCUGGACCCGAAGAUGAGAGGACACUCGGAGAAGUACUGGGUGGAGUCAUCCUAUGGGACAAGAACUACAUCAAGCUUCCAGGCUCGGCCCCAAGGACAACACCGCCUUCGAGUCGUCGCAGGUCACCUACACCUCCAUUACCUCCAAGCCCUCCACAUGACGUAGUCUAGCACAACACGAGUCCAUCUCGAUCACCGCUGCCGGACUUGGGUCGUCCGUCUCCGCCACCGCCCGCUCCGGAUACUAAGCGGGAGCGUGCCACCAAGAACGCUCCGUCGACGAUUUCUAAGCGACGGAGCCCCCAAAAGCGCAAAUGGUCACCCCUCCCAAAGGUACCUCAUGCUAAUCUUCCUAUCAGACCUUAUGAUCGUACCCCCGAGGAAAAUGCCAGGAUAGCAAAGGAACAUCAUGAUGCGCAGAUGAAAAAGAAGGAACCAGAGCCUCGCCCGGAAUACACCGAGAAGCAAAUAGCAUUUGCAAAAUACUUCACGACCCUUCCAUCACAGUAUGACUUACACCAUAAGCCUGAUGACUAUACACGCACAUUGCAGAAGGAAGUGAAAAAGAGCAGAUCACGUGCAAGUGCAAGUGGGAGCAAAUCAAGUUCAACUACAAGCAAGAAAAAAUCAGACGUUUCUCAACUUGGACAACAGGCCAAACAGUCGAUCCCACCCCUCAAGGUGUUAACCGAGAAUGUCCCCCCCCCCCGGUGCAGGGGCAAGAUUUUGAAUUAGCAAAGAAGUGGGCGGCUGAAUGGGGUGUCUCGGUUGAAGAUGUUCUGGCUUCCCAAGACGACAGGUUACCCAAGGCUGUGGUAGCCCCUAAGCCACAGUUUGUCAUGAGAGAACCUUUGGUCAGCAAAGAUGAUCUCCCAAUAAAUAUGCGUUACUUGCAUACAUGGUACUUAAGUGAAUCAAAGAAUGGGAGAACGAUGAUCGUGGUGAGUGUCCCACGGGAGUACUUCGGCCGCCCCGAAGAAAUCCAUAUCAACUUUGAUGAACUCUUCCAUAUGUACAAUGGCGACGCCCUCGACAAAUCGCUUAUGAGUUGCUAUUGUCUGUAAGUUUUUCAAUUCGUUGUCUACAUAUAACUUGUUUAGUUAUUUCAAUUCAUUGUCUAUAUAUAACUUGUACUCUAUUAUGCAGAAUGAAGAUUCUGGAUUGUAAAAGUAAGAACAUCCUAAAUAUUGGGUUUAUUGACCCAGAUAAAAUACAUAUAGCGACACUAACUGAUAAACCUAAGGAGACGGAGGAAAACCUUCUAAGGUUUCUAACAGAUCAAAAAUUUUGUGACCACAUACUGUUUCCAUACAACUUCAGGUGGGGGUCUUUACUCUGUUGUGUCCAUUCACUUAUAAGUGUAAUUGAUAAGUUACUGACACACACUCACACACAUAUAUAUAUAUACAUGUGCAGCUUUCAUUGGAUUCUGUUGGACAUUCAAAUUGAUAAGGGAAGAGUUGAUGCCUUCGACCCAUUAUCGAGACCCUUGGAACAAUUCCAAAGCCUGCAGGACAUGCUCCAAGGGUAAUUUCAAUCAUUCUUGCGCUCUAUCGGUCUCUUUCGAUGAUUUUCUGAUAUAUCAAUUAAUAAAAAACUUAGCAAAUCAUUAUCCUUGUCGGGCAGGGUUUGGAAGCGGUUCAAGUGCGUGACUCCCGGUAUCGAGCCUGAGAAGCUGACCUUUAGAGCGGCUCAGGUAAGUAGUAGUAUGAUAUACUUCUAUUUUCAAUACAUUUAUGAUGCUAGAUUAUUAUUUUGAUUAUAUAUAUUCUAUUCUCGUAAAGUGCGACCAGCAGCCACGGGGGACGCAUCUAUGCAGAUACUAUGUUUGCGAGACCAUUCGCACGUUUACCUCUGAGCACAAGGAUCACAAAUUCGACGUAAGCAAUGAACAUUCACACCUCUAUUUUUUACCCGUCAUUCUUUGUUAUCAUGAUUGAUAUUCAUAUUCAUCUCCUCUUCUUAUAUAGUACACGGCCAUGAGGACGAAGGUCCUACCAGAGCAACGCGCGAUUGCUGUUGCAGAGGAGCUUGCGACCUUUCUGAAGACGGAAGCUAUAGAUGACAAAGGAUGAUUUAGUGNAUUGUUUUACCUAGGUUCACGUGCUUAGCAUUGUUUCUUCAUGGGUCACCAAACUCAUCUCUUUCCUAUUAAUUAGCUUGUCACAUCAGAUUUUUUAUCUAUGUAUCAGUUUUAACAUCUGUAUAAGGUGGAGCAUUCGGAGUAGCCUAAUAUGAUUGUCGGUACUCAAUAGUACAUGGAAUACACAGCAGUGAGUGGGCCAUGACACUUUAAAUUCGUAUUAGAUAUGCAAUCGAAAAGAUCUUAUAUUAGUUUGCAGAGGUAUUACUGAUCAAAAUGUCAGUUUUAUUGAAGGCCGGUCUCAAACAGUAUAGUGAUGUUCUGAUCAAGAUAUCAGUUUUAUUGCAGUAACAAGCUAGAGGAUGAAAAGCACAAGCCUACUUUCAAUAUCUAUACGAGAGUAGGCAACUAAGCAUAGCUAAAUUGAGUAUAUUUAGCCAGCAGCGCCAGCACACGGUGGGUUAAUUAAGCGGUGCGAACUACUUCCCGGUUACACAAAACACACCUCAUUGCCACGUAUAUUAGGGGGAUACAUUCGUACUAGCUCUUGCCGUUGGCGGGCAGGUUCCGGAUUCGUCUCGCCGGGGACAAGGCACGAACGUGCACUUUAGGCAGGCGCGCAGUCAUAGUCGUCAUCAUUGUCGUCGUCGUCCGACUCAGCCUUCCUAUGCCGCCCGCCGCAGCAGUCGUCACUCGGCGCGGCAUCGCAAACGGCAUAGGUGGCAAUGCCGCCGUCUUGGACGACGAUGGGGCUCAUGACCAUGGACGCCGGCGCCAUGACGAGGAGCUAGCUUGAGUAUGCAGGCGAAUCACAAGCUUGAGGUCUAAGCCUGGCGAUGCUAGCCGUGUUGGUGUUGUUGGCAAUAAGCCACGGUGAGCGUAGCCUGCAUGCGUGCGGGCGUGAGCUGGCCGCGUCGGAUCCGUGGCAGGUGUCCCUGUGUGUGUCUAGGCAUAGUCUGGUUAGUGUUCAACUUACAGGAUGGUCUGGCCAUGGUCCGUGUAUAGUCCGGCUAGUUUACAGGCUGUGUGCGUGCGUGAGUGUGUGUCUGUUAGCUAGAUAGCCGAGGAUGUGACCGCGUCGCCUGCACUAGAAAUGGCCGCGUUGUUCGCGUUGGAGCGCGAUGGGUGCGCUGGCUGGGAGUGCGAGACGUGGAGAGCGAGUCUCCUGGUGGAGUUCAGUUUGAUUAGACAAUGAACUUUAACACUACAAACUAAGUUGUUACAUGUUACAUAAUCUGCAUCAGCACAUGGCUCGGAUAGAUUAAACAAUUACACAAUCUGCAUCGGCACACGGCUAAACUAAAAUAUGACCAUCAGAUCAACAUAAACUAUGCACUGGACCAUGUGCUUACUAUCAUUGUUAAUACAAAAAAUACAGCUUUUGUGCAGCAUCUGACCUUAUUAGCACACACUCAUAACCUCUUGCCCAUGUCAAAUCCUUCAAAGACCACACACCUCUCAGCUGCCAGACUAUGGUGCUCGCAAGGAACCAUCGGUGUUGUCUCAACGCCCAUGUAGUCCUGGUCUUCAAUGCUAGCAGGGACCUACAACAAAAAAAUGAACAAAGAAUCCCCCAAAUCAAAUUGAAUCCCCAAGAACACAAACCCUAACUCUAAGCCUAGUUCUACAACUCACCAGGUACUUCAUGCCGUCGAAGGAGGAGCUGAUGUGCAGCAGGCUAGAGUAGUUGUUGUUGUUUUCGUUCUCGUACACCAUGGCACUAUGACGGCGGCGACGGUCGACCGCGAAUCGGAGGAGGGAGGAAGAGAGCUCGAGGAGAGCAAGAGAGUGCGUAGGGGUUCGGCUAGGUUCGAUCAAGCCCACCAAGAUCGACCGUACCGGCUUCGUCCUAGUCAGCAGAGCGGCACAUGCUAGUUGGCCAUGUAUCACUAAUAGGUGGGGCCGCACGGUCAGAUACACGCUCAAUAUAGGGUUAUACGGCUGUCAGACCUUUUUGCAACAAUUAGGUCCUAAAAUGAUACUAAAUUGCGACCAACAUGAUUUGUGGUACUGACUCGUAACAUGGUGCCGAAGUGUGAUAGCCCCCUGCAAUUAACUCGUUCUCGUAAGGGUUCCCCUGUGUCUUCUGCGAGGAUGACGUGGCGGUCGGGGUCAGGUCCGACGCAUUAACAUAAUAACAUGCUGCUACAUGACAUUGACGGGAUUACCCUCGACUCUUCGUUGAACAAACUUAGGCAUGUGUUAAUGAAGGUUUCUUAGCGCAGGUUUAUAGGCAUUUUGCUGAUGUGUCACAACAGUUAAUGAUGAGAGAAAGUAGGAUUGUAUCUUAGCUAAGAUACAACAUCUGCACGUCACCAUAUGUAAAAAUGGUUAAUAGGUCAAUCACAUCUAUGCAUCAACACCAAAUUAUUAAAUUUAGAGACAACCUCUAAAAAAUAAUACAUUGGGUUAGUAGUCUCUUAAGUUAUUAAUGCUUCUAUCAUAAUGUGCUGAGAAACCAUGCAUUGGCACAGGAUUUAUGCAACAAUAACUGAUGCAAAAAAUGGCAACAAAGGAUAGCACAAAGGAGCAUGCAAUGAUGGAGCUAUUACUUCGGUAGGUAACCAUUCCACAAGAGACACAAAUACAUACAUCAUCUCGGUUGCGUGGCAUUAAACAUUCCACCGAAUGUUGCCCGUGGCGCUUAUUUUCAUCUGUAUAAUAGCCAUGAAUAUAUCCGACACACCUAUAAUAACUCAAAUAAUCCCUCACAAAAAAAAUUAAAAUAAUAGAUAUAUGUCUAUCAUAGUGAGCCGCCCAAUUAAAGAAUGAACAUCUCACAUUGAACACUCACUGGAAUUAUAACAACACACAGUAAACAACCAUUUAGCUGGCCAAUUAAUGACUCAGUUAGAUUAAACAAUGAACUUCAACGCUGCAAACUAAGCUGUUGACAUGUUACACAAUCUCCAUCAGCGCAUGGCUCGGGUAGAUUAAACAAUUACACAAUCUGCAUCAACACAUGGCUAAACUAAAAUAUGACCAUCAGAUCUGCCAACAUAAAUUAUGCACCGGACCAUGUGCUUACUAUCAUUGUUAAUACAAAAAAUAUAGCUUUUGUGCAACAUCUGACCUUAUUAGCACACACUAAAAACCUCUUGUCCAUGUUAAAUUCUUCAAAGGCCACAUGCCUCUCAGCUGCCAGACCAUGGUGCUAACAAGGAACCAGCGGUGCUGUCUCAACGCCCAUGUAGUCCUGGUCUUCAAUGCUAGCAGGGACCUACAACAGCAAAAUGAACAAAGAAUCCCCCAAAUCAAAUCAAAUCCCCCAAGAACACAAAUCCUAACCCUAAACCUAGUUCUACAACUCACCUGGUACUUCAUGACGCCGUCGGAGGAGCUGAUGUACAACAGGCUGGAGUAUUCGUUGCUGCUCUCGUCCUCGUACACCAUGGCACAACGACGGCGGCGGCGGCAAUGGUCGACUGCGAAUCGAAGGGGGGAGGGAGAGAGCUUGAGGAGAGGAAGAGAGUGUGCCGGGGUCCGGCUCGGUUCGACCGAGCCCGCUAAGACCGACCGCGUCGGCCUCGUCCUACUCAGCAGAGCGGCACAUGCCAGUUGGCCAUGUAUCACUGAUAGGUGGGGCUGCGCGGUCAGAUCCACGAUCAAUACAGGGUUAUAUGGCUGUUAGACCUUUUUGCGACAAUUAUGCCCUAAAAUGGUACUGAACUGCGACCAACACGAUUUGUGGUACUGACUUGUAACAUGGUAUCGAAGUGUGGUAACUCCCUGCAAUUAACUCGGUCAGGUAAGGAUUCCCCUGUGUCGUUUACGAGGACGACGCGGUGGUCGGGGGUCAGGUCCGACGCUUUAACAUAAUAACAUGCCGUUACAUGGCAGUGGCUGCAAUACCCUUGACUCUCAUCCGCAAAAAAAAAGGAUUACCCUCGACUCUUCAUUGAACAAACUUAUGCAAUAAUAACUGAUGCAAAAAAUGGCAACAAAGGAGCAUGCAAUGAUGGAGCUAUUACUUCGGUGGGUAACCAUUCCACAAGAGACACAAAUACUCCAUCCCGGUUGCCUAGCCAUAAACAUACCACCGAAUGUUGCCCGUGCCGCUUGUUUUCAUCUGUAUAAUAUCCAUGAAUAUAUCCGACACACCUAUAAAUAAUAACUCAAAUAACCCCUCACAAAAAAAAACUGAAAUAAUAAAUAUAUGUCUAUGUGUUGCCUGUGGUGCUCAAUGUUUUCCCUCUUGUUCUCCCCAGCGAAGAGUUGGGCACAGAGAAGUAUGAAUGUGGGCAGAUGUAUAUGUCACCGAGUGGAGCAUAUGCUAUGUAAAUAGUAGCAUGAAGCCACGAACACUAUAUAACUGAAAUUUAUAAAAAAAACUGUUAUAUUUGAUAAUCCUGCAUUUAUAAAACGUUCUAUGUGUAUUAAGUUCUUGUUUAUUUUAAAAUGUUAUUGGUGCAUUGAACAAAUAUUCAGAUCCUAGUUUUAAAACAAUAUGUAUCUAGCCUUUUAAAAAAUACAUCAUGUUUCAAAAAGUGUUCAUAGGGAAAAGAGGAAAAGUCCAAAAACAGAAUUAGAAAAUACAGGAGAGUGAAUAGAAUAAAAAUAAUAAGAAAAGGAAAACAAUAGAAGAGGAGAAAAUGUACAUAGGAGCACAUAAACACAAAAAUAAUAAAAGAUGUUCAAUUACGUACUUUUAAAAAUUGUUCACAUAUAUUGAGACAAAAGUUAUCUACUUUAAAAUAGGUUUAUGGAACUAAAAAAUUUAUUUGCAUUUGUUUAUUUUCACGUAUUAACAAAACAUAUUCAUGUAAUAAAAAAUACGGUGCCAUUUCAAUGUAUUCUUUUGCGUAAAAUUUAGAAAGUGUCAGCACCCUUUUAGAAAGGUUUGUAUAUUUUCAAAAAUAUUUCUGUCGCUACCGGCAAUAUCAAUGCGAGUUUGAUGAGUCGAUAAACCAAUGAAAAACGCAAAUACUCCUUAGUUUGAACAAUCUUGACAAACAGACUUGAUAGACUAUCAUAACCACAGAAAAAUUCUUUUCGAAAGGCCGGGUCAGGUUCAAUCUCAGCUGGAUUAAAUCUUUGAGGAAUAUCAUUUUGCAAAUUAUUUGUAUCAGUCUCUGUACUUAAUACCGUCGAAUCAAUAGCUUCGGAACUGGUUGCAUUUACUUCAGAUUCGCAAACUUGGGGUCUAGACUGAUUUACUGGGAUAGCUUUGAAAAAAGAUUCAAUCUGCUUCAUCUUUUUAAGUCCCUGCAACAUCAUAGUUUUAACUAACUUUUAGUGUUUAACUUUCAAGAAUUAGGCCAAGACGACAACCAAUUAAGAAGACUAGGACAACGAAAGAACCUGCUCCUUGUUGCAUCUGGUGGCUGCUCGUUUGUUGUUUUGAGCAGGGAUCAUGGCGACCGCGGCGGCGACGUCGCAGGCGGCUGCGGCAUGCGGCGACGCCGCUUCCUGUGUGGACGGCGACGCGAACAGGCGGACUCGCUUAUCGUUUUCCAUCUAGUACCAUCGGCUGGACUAACCUGUGCAGUGCCGGUGACUGUGAGACGACAGUGGAGGCGGCGGCUCGUCCCCAGGGUGUGAUCGCUCGAGGCUGGGUUUAGAACAAUAAGGUCCACGAUCAAUAGAAAAUGAACUAGUCAGGAUGUGUUUUAUUGGGCUUACUUAAUUGGCCCAUCUAUAGCGAGCAGCUACUUGACGAAACAUUUUCUUCUUCCUCACAUUGGCUCGACGAUACCUCAUACCUGGGACUUCAGGAGAAGCUGCUCGCCUCCCAUGGUAGCCACCGCCCAAAAUUAGUAGGGGGUACCCUAGGUUUCAAAAAUUUAACCGGGGCCACCGUCCCUACAUGACCCUACGCUGGAGCCGCCCCUUCUUUCAUCCUCUUAAUUCUGCACCCCAGUGCACUAAUUAAGUUCAGAAAUAAAAGGAUGUCACUGAAGAGCAUUUGACAGAGCUCGCCCAUUCAUAGCUCACGCUUCUCCCCCAAAUAGAUGCUUCGAAACGUACUUGGCCCCACCUUUGGUCGAAGUUGCAGAGCCCCGGUGCAAGGUACCUCCUGAACAACAUCAACAUUCGCCGCACUGCACAGUCGUGACGUGUUCAUUCUGAAGUUGUGUCAGUAUAUGCCAUCAUCUUCAUCGUCCACGAUUUACCGCGGCAUCGAGGAUAUAUACUUUUUAUGGGAUAUUAUUAUGAUUUCCAGCCAAAUAGUCCUUCUAAUGAUCAAAAAUUCGUAGUUGAGGCCGAGCACCUCGGUGCGCUACAUCUGGUCCGUCCAGUAUCGUUGGGGAUCCGCGCGCUCCCUGUAUUACCGAGACUUGCCUCCCGUAUCGUCUGCACGAUUCCUUGUAUGACGGGAGACAGAGGAGAGAAUCCGGUGCAGAAUUUAGCCCAUAUCAUCAACAGUACGAUCUGCACAUGCAUGUGAGAAGUACCAAUGCGCAGGUCCAAAUAGUGUAUACAUCGUGGAAAUAGUGUGUGGAAUCCGGUCCAGCAGGGUGGUCAGGUCAAAUCAAUAAUACUUUCCUAUUUUUUGUUAGGCCAUUCACCAGGGAAUGCAUUUACCCCCAAGCGCCCAUCCCACCUGCGUGCAACAUCGCCUUCUUCAUCCUCCACUUGCGUACAAACAAUCAGCAAGCAUGAACUGUCGACCCUACUGCAGUUGGAAAAUGGAUUAUAAGCAAAACUAUUAUCCAUUUCACCAAAACAAAUUCCAGCUACACAUCGGCCAUUAAACAAACCACACACGUUAUAUGAAAUCAAUCCAGCAGUACACGUCAAACUAAAAUUAUGAAAUCAACCCCUCAACUAGUGUUGUUUUCCAUAAAACCAAUUCAAGAUCCAGUCAUUCACAAUCAUAUCAAAUCUAGUUAUUUGCAGGCUCACAACUAAAUUGACGGCAAACUAAAUUCUGAACCUAAAUCAAAAAUUUAUAAAGUCUGAAUUAUCAAUGGUUAAGCAUGAGUGAUUUUUAUCAUCCAAUUCAGUCCCAGUUAAGGAUUCAUGUCAGCUUCAGACCCACAACCCGUCUAGAAAAGUACUAAGACUAUUUUCUCUUUAAAGAUUCAUGUCAGCUUGAGGCCCAUGUCAGCUUCGGUUGAACACUUCAUGCCUGGACCAAGGGGCAAACAUUUGUGCCAAAUAGCGACGGCUAAACAAAUUAGCUCCUAUUGCUAGUGCAGCAUGCAAGGGGACAGCCACCUGACAGUUUAGAAUCCCCACACACGCUUGGACACACCAGAUGUAGUGCACCGAUUUGCUCGGUCACACAAACUUCGCAUUCUAAUGAUGCAGUUUGGUGGUACAGUGGAACACAGGUUUACCGGAACAGAAUGUUAUUCCUUCAUGAUCAGGUUACACAGGUUCACUGUGGCAAAGUCUCAGGACCAAGUUCAGCAAGAACUAAACGAAAUUCAGCACUUCCAUUCAAAGAAUAAAAUCAUGCCAAAAAACGAAAUUCAUCAGUUACAUUGAAAGAACGAACCCGUGUCACUCAGGUACGGUACAGCAAAUUAAAGGCCUGCAGCCCCAAAUACAGAAAUAAAUAUAACGAAAUUCGUGGUUUACAUCCCAAGAACGAGAUCAUGCCACACAUUGUCAGUACAGCGAAGAACUCGCAACAAGUUCUGGAAGUAACAAAUAGAUAAGUUGUAGGAACCUGUCCAAAGAAAAACAGAACACUUCCUUCACCAGCUCGCUACACAUCAAGGACUUGAACAUCUUCAGCAUUGACAGCCUUCCUCAUAGCUUAGUAUUUCUGAUGCUUUGACCCACCGGAGUAAACUGUGGCAUCAGUCCUUGGCUGCCACGUUUUUGUCCAGCAUAACUGUGUUGGGAAACAGACCGUAGUAGUUACAAGAAACAUACAAUACGGUUACACAAACAAGUUCCUACAAGUAUAUGUGACCUCCACUAUCUCAAAUAUAAAAUUGGGGUAUUGUUCGUCACAAUAAGAGAUCAAGGCACGCAACAACUAUCUGUUUAUGCAAGCACACACGUAGGGAAAAUAGGUUUAGAUCGCUGCCUAUAUUAUAAACUCUAAAAGGACAAUUAUGAGAAUCUAAGCAACAUAAAUAAGUUUAGAUUGAUAAUUUGUCUGCCUGCAAUCCGUGCAUCCAUGGACAUCUACUAAAGCACUUUUGGAAUAUGUAGAGGAGAUUUAAGCAUUUCUGGUGCUUAACAGCAUACGCAUAAUGGCAUACAAAGCUUGAAAUAUAUGCAUCAGAUGAGGCAGAAAACUAUGAUUUGUGAAUACUGAUUAUGGUUCAGUAAAUCAAAGGAACAAAACGACAUGUCCAACUAGUGUAUAUAUGUAGUGUUUGUACCUUGUGCCUUCACCACUGGCAUCUAACUGGUAGACAAAGUGUAGAUGUCCAGGUCUUCACCAUGAAGCCGCUGGUGCUGGUUUUGAAGCCCGGGCACCCAGCCGGAAGAGAUCUCUUGCAUAUCCUCGCCCAGCCCCAGCUGCUGCAAACUUACCAACCCCUCAACAUGGCUUAAGUUUGGACAACCACGUACACGCAGUUCUGUCACUUGAGGGAGGUUGGAGAUCCUCUGCAGGCCUUCACAUUUCUUAAUGACAAGGAGUUCAGAGAGCAACAGGAGGUCCUCCACGGCCUUCAAGCUGUUUGUACCAACUAAUCUGAGCUCCUUCAAGCUAGUUGUCUCCUUUCCAAGUUGUCGCGGGAGAGCCCUCAACUUCGGGCAACCCUCGAGUGCCAACAGUACCAAACUAGGCAGCACUGGAAGCCUUGCAGAUUGAGCAUCCUCUUUUCCAAUUUCAGCAGCUCCAUCCUCUCCCCAUGCACCAGCAGCAACUUCUUCCUCAAAAGAAGACCACACCUCCCAGUUGGGCAUAUCCCUGAAGAUCAACCAUUCAAGUUUAGGAAAAGCAACCAGCUCAUUGCAUACAGGAUCACCUCUCUUGCAGCCAAAAAAUUCAGAUCCAACCUUGGUAACAGCAUGUGCUCCAUCAAUCCUCAGAUAUUUCAAGUUUGGCAACUGCCAAAUCGGUGGAAGAUGCACCCAUGAUCGUACAUCUUCGAGUUUCAAUUCUAUUAAAGAAGACAAAUAGGUGAUAUCAAACCAGGUGGGAUACCGCUGACCAAAGAAUUUAAUGAUAUAUAGGUCUUCCAGGUUAGGUGGAGGUAUUAGUUGCUCAAUGACCUUCUCAUCAUUGCUGACAUCUUCUUCUGAAUAUGAUCCCUCUCCACGUCCAGUCCACUUUAGUAAUAGUUGUUUUAGAUGCUUUUUGUCUGUCAGCAGUGCAUCUGUACUGCAAUGAGCUGCUCUAUCCAAAUUAACAAGAGAAAGAUACCUCAUCUGCGACAAAGAAGACAACUCUUCCAACAUCCAUCCAUCUUGUACAACGGCAUUAUCACUUCCAUCACCAACAGGAUAACAUCUGAAACAAGUAAGGAACUUCAAUUUGCCUAUGCCUUUUGGAACCUGAUUUAUUUUUGUGCUAAAAAGAUCAAGACAUCUUAAACUGCACAACAAUGUCACUGCCAAAGGAAGAUUGUGCAGGUCAUUACACCAUCUCAAGCUCAGUGCUUGAAGGUUCUUUAGGGAGCCAAUGGAUUCCGGAAGACAAGAUAUGCCAGUAUGAUCUAGAUUAAGUAGACGUAGAUGUAUCAAUUUUCCUAUAUAGUCUGGGAUGCUUUGUACAAGUGAGUAAUUCAGUACCAAAACACGAAGAAGCAGAAAUCUCUUGAACAAUGUAUCCCCACUUCUCCAUGGACCCUUAACAGUUAGGAAUGUCCUCACCUUAACCUCCAUCUGAUCCACUCUAGGUAACACCAACAUAUCCUUCUUAAUUACGGCAGUAAUACGUCUCAGUUUUGACAUAUUUCCACUCCUUAAUGUUUCAACAUCUCCAAUAAAACAUUCUUCUCUUGAUAUGUUCAGUGCAAGUUGCCUUAAGAGGUCAUGCAUUUUGCAGCGAGACAUGUUAAAAUAUAAGAUAUCUGGUUGGAGGAGAUUCCGGUGGAUUAGCUCGUGGUAGUACUCUUCUGCUAUGUCUUCUAGUAGUUGACCUUGCUGCUCCUCGAUGAAGCCUUCAGCAAUCCAUAACCUGGUAAUGUCUCCACGCAGCAUCAUAGAAUCUUCAGCAUACAGAGCACAAUAAAGGAAACACUGUUUCAGACGAUGCGGCAACUCAUCAUAGCUUAGAUACAGAGCUCCUUCUAUUUCAUCAGAGAGCAUGCUCUGAGAACCAGCAUAUUUGCCCAAAUAAUUUUUCCACUCAUUCUCUGUUAGAUCUCUGCUUGCCAAAGCACUAGCGGUAACCUUGAUUGCAAGAGGGAGGUGACCACAUUUACGAACAAUCUCAAUCCCCGUGUUUCUUAAAUUCUGCACUUCUUUCUCUUCCUCAAUGUUCAUGCUCUUCCAAAGUAGCUCCCAUCCCACCUCUACUGACAUGAGAUCAACUUGAUGGGUAUGUUGUACACCUAUUUUCCUUGUAAUUUGAUCAUCUCGUGUGGUUACCAAUAUUACUCCGGCUGUUGUUUCAUGUAAUGCAGGUCUUAAUAAAUCCGUCCACACAUUGGAAUGCCACACGUCAUCUAGAACCAGAAAGAAACUCUUUCCUUCAAUUGUUUCUGCAAGCUUCCUCUGCAGCUCUGUUAUGGUUUCACCUUGCUCAUGAUGCACACCAAUAUUCCAAAGAACCUCUUUAAGAAGAGUUAUUUCGUUGUAGUCUUGUGAAACACAAAUCCAUGCGUGCAACUUGAAGCUUCCUUUUACUUUCUGAUCGUUGUAUAUUUUUUGAGCUAGUGUUGUCUUACCAACUCCUCCUGUUCCAACAAUAGCAAGCUUGUAAGACUUGCUUUCCUUGUGUGCAAGAACUAAGUCCACCAGCUUCCUGGUAGCAUAUUUGAUCUCCUUCCCCACAAGGUUGGGCUCAACAAGGUUGGAGCUUCUUAUCAGUUUGGAUGUUGGACCAUUUCUAGAAGACUGUAUACUAGUGUUGAAUGUUAAAAAUAUCUUGUCAUUUGCAAUGUUCUCAAUCUUUUUGUUGAGGCUUCUAAUCCGAACAGCAACAUCACGACGUGACCAGAUGUUACAAAAACAAGAGGAAACUGAGAGGCCUUUGCAUGCAGCUGAUUUGCUUGAUGAUGAUGAACGAUCAUCAGGCAGUAGUUUGCUUGCUUUACACGUAGCCACGUCCAGGAUUUCAUCAACAUCAUAUAUAACAUCUCUAAGUUGACCAAGCCAAUUGUUUACGGCUAGCUCUUUUGUCCUCCUUUUCUCAGCAUCAUAUAUGCAACAUUUUAUCAGUUCUACUCGUCGCAGGAUUUCUCUGAGCUCUUCUUCCACCCCAAGGAUUAGUAUGACCUCAUCUGUAAUGAUAUUUUGCAACUUACUGGCACAUGAUCCAAGCAAAGAUUCAAGUAUGGCUGCCAUGGAUCAGACAAACUCGUCAAGGAAGAUCUGCCAAAAACACCAUGGUGACUUGAUUCUGAGAAUGGCAGAAACUGGAAGCUGAAAAUGUAGCAUGCUUUCAAAAAUGAGAUAAGGGUCUACAGAUACACUAGAAGAUAUCACUACUUCGUUGCUAUUUACAUUUAGAAUAGAUUUUGCAUAAUGAAAGCUACGUAUGCAACGUACAUACAGAUUCAGCACCUUGAGUAGCACCAUGUAUCAAGGACUAAGUUCUAGAGCUGCCACUGGGUCUUUUAUUUUAUUGUUUGUGCUUGCAAAAUUACAUGUGCGUUAGCUUUUCAUGCAAAGUAUUCAUCGGUUUGUCUUGCCAGUUAAGGACGCCGUCCAAUGGCAGCUGCAUAGCAAUCUGCAUAUGGACUGAAUCAAAAGAAAUGUUGCACCGAGUUAUAUUCCUAGGUAACCUCAACCUAGGAAUGCCUGUUUCACUUCCUUGACAGAGCCAACUGAGAUGCUCUGUCUCGAUGUUGACCUAACAUGGAUUGAUUCUAAAUUAUGAAUCAAAAAUCCUGAUCUCGCAAAGGAUCCACAAUAGCUGUGUGUACUCGAGGACUCUUAGGGAAAGAAAAGGACUUUUCUCUCUCAGCAGUUAGACCGGCUAUGGGUGGGUUGGUUAUAUACUGCGCCUUCCUUCUUCAAACCUUUUGGUAUGUAUUGCCCCCUAACUAUAGAUCAGAUCCACCAGUUUAUUCAAUUGGAGUAUUGAAAGUUAAGUCGAUUGCAAGUCUUUACCUUACAAACCACUCUUCGGUCAAGGAAAAACCAUCAAUAAUUAUAAUCAAUAGUGAUCAUAAUAAAUCUUGAUAAAGCAGUUUGCUUCGAUUACCAGUCGAUCUCAUUAGAAGAUUAUCGGUCAAUCACCACUAGAAAACCAUGCUGCUGCUACACCUGUAGUAUAUAGAUAAUACAAGAUUAUGGACCAAGUAAUGAACAGAAGGAGUAUCUCCCACCGCGUUACAGAUCAAGAAGUUCAAGACACUGAGAUCAGAUAUGUACCUCAACACGGGCCGGUAAGUCCACAGGAUCUCUUCAAUCAAUGGUGACCACUGGACCAACGGGGAAGGAACGGCGAACUUGAGCGGAUCAAGACAACGACCACUGGACCAACAGGGAAGGAACGGCGAACUUGAGCGGAUCAAGACAACAUUUCCUAUGCGGGAGGAGGCGACCUCAGAGCAAGCACACAGGAGGAGGCGACCUCAGCGAGGAAUUCCUUCGAUCUGAAGCAAGAAUUAGUCGCAUAAAGGCAGGCUUUGAUGAUGGCUGGAAGAGAAAAGUGGUAAAGAAGGCUAAUGAUGCUUAUCUUAAAUUUGUUUACUUGGACAUAGAACCCAGUAAUUAUUCCUUCCUUCCCACCAUUGCAGCAAAAGGCAAAAGCAAAAGCACUCAAGGUGGCUCAUUUUUUAUUUCUUGACGAUUGAACCUGAUGCCUUACCUGAUCCAGUAGCACUGUAGCAGCAUAUAUGUACUGCAAAGACAAGCAACAGCAGAGGCCCCAUCUCCUCUGCUUCCAUUAUUAAUUCAUGUGUCAGGAUAUUUAACCAAACAACAUCAGCCCAUCAUUUUCAGCAACCAGCCAUGAAAUACAUAUACGGUCAGCAAGAGCAGGGUCUGCACAUGCCACAAUUGCCAGUAAUAAAGAUCCCCCAUAAGAGAUUUGUGAUACAUCUUAAGAACGACUAUGUUGUAUCCAUCACAGUUAAUCCAAGCAGUCAAGGAGGUUCAACUUGGGGUUACUACAGAGGUAACUAGAGCACACUUGACAACAAAAUUUCAAGAUUACUUGCACUAGCUUUGCUAGUUAUCGUCCUUAAUUCUCUUGAGCAGCUUGGCAGCCCACCGGCGCAGCCUUUUGUUCAGGGUGAAGCCAACCACGACGCCAACAACAAAGCUGAGGGCGCCAAACUUCGCGCAAGCCGACAGAGACACCAUCCGGCUGCAAUACCAAAGGAUCGUACGUCAGUUGCAAACUUGCAAGGAGCAUAACUUGAGUCAGGGAUUACAGAUUUACAGUACAACAUGUGCACGUUUACAUCACCAAAAAAUGUUGCGGCUGCAGCCUAAAUCUAGAAAAGAAGACUAGAGAGUCGAUGCCAAAUGUGGAAACAUGCAUUUGCCAUUCAGAUUUCACUAUAUAGGCACAGAGUCUAUUUGGCGGACGACUGCAGCUUUGGUUGGCAGAUGCAUACCCCAACCCUCCACAUUGUCUGUGUUCCAUCUUCAGCAUUCAAUUUCAUGUCACAAAAUUUGUAAGCAUGCUAUCUACUGGAACUUGCGAUUGAUUUUUCCAGUCUUUAAAGUUUAAACUGGGAGGUUCUGAUAGAACUUCGAACUAGUGCAAAUAAAUACUUUCAAUUUCAACUAAGAGGGGGCAAACCUUUCACCGAAAACUUGUACAAAAAAAUGAAAUAGAAACCGAACUUUAACCUACAAGUAUCAAGCAUCUUUCAAUCAGCUACUGACCAAAUAGAUAAAUAAACAGGAACCAUAUAUCAAAAUUCCAAUUAGGACAAAAAAAACGACUAGGUCAGGUUUCUUCAGAUUAGGGUGCUAAUUUAACAUAGGGAUCGGUGUACUUCAAGCCCCUGCAGCCACUGCUGAAGGGUGGCAACCUCAGUUGGGGAGCGCCAUAGACUGCAGUGGCAGCACGGCCUAAAGCAGGAGGAUGAGCAUGGGAGAGUGAGGCAGAGAGGCCCGGGGAUUUGCUCAAGCAGGAGGCACAGGGGAAGUCAGAGGAUACAGUUUUACAAGUGGGAUACGGAAAAUUCAGCAAUAAUCAUGUACUCCCUCCGUUCCUUAAUAUAAUUUUUUUUAGAGAUAUCACUAGGAGACUACAUACAGUUGCAAUUUUCCGAAAUCAACGUAGAUAAGCAUGUACGCUGGCAACCAAACUUCUGAUGUUUAGAAGUUCCACAAAUACUACAUGUACAGCAUACAUAUUACAUUGCCCAGCCUAAUUCUUCUUCUCAGGUUUACGGCUUGGUAUCAGUUAAGACACAGAACGAUAUGUAGCACCAUAUGGAACAGGUUACGUCGUAGAAAUCGAAAAUACGGACAUAAAAGUAAACAUAUAAGUCGAAUAAUUGGGCUGUCCUACCAUACACAUGACGACAUAACUGAAGCUCUCCCCAGCCAAACAUUCUCUACAGACCAAAUCCGACUCGUUUAGUCAAGCUUCCAGCUCUGAUGUGUUGCAGGGAUUUCCUGCAUCUGCGUCAGCUACUACUACCACAGUGCAGAACAGCAAAGCAUGCUUGAUAUCCCCCAAACUACUGGCAGCAUACCGCGAAAUCCGCCCCCAAAUCGAAGCAAUCUACCGGGCGAGCGAGCGAAAACAGGGCGCGUCGAUCGAAUCUCGAACCAGAGGAGGAGGAUGAGGACGGUGAGGGGGUGCUCGGACAUACCCUGCCUCCCUGGGCACGAGGAGCUGGUCGGAGAAGGCGGAGCGCGAGGAGGAGGAGGAGUUGGCGGCGUCCUGCGCCGCCGCCUGCAGCCUCCCCACCGCCGACGAACCUGAAGGCAUCUCCGCGGAUCCCGACCUCUUCCUGGCCUCGCCGGGGGUUCGAGCAAGCUAGGGUUUAGAGAGGCAGGGAUUUUUCCUCCCUCUUUUCUCGGAUGGGGGCGGUAAAUAAGAGAAGUGUUUUUUUUUCUUUUUCCGUCUUUUCUUGUCUUGCAGAGGAAGAAGAAGAAAUACGGGCCGGAGAAGGAGCGAAGGAAGGCGGGGUCGACUUGGGGAUGGGCCUGGCCGGGACGGCACUGGGCUCUGGGUUUUGCGCCGUCCGUGUCCAAUUUCCCUGUGAUUUUUUUUUUAACUGAUGACGAAAAAGGGUUUUCCCGCUUUGUAUUACAAAGCAACCAGGCAGAACGUCCAACGAUACGUGUUGGGGUGGAAACAACAUAGUCACGUUAAAAAAAAUGAAAAAGAAAAUACAAUGGAAACAAAUGCCGAUACCGGCGGAUCGACAGAAAACGCAAAAGACUCGCGACCGCUGCGUCCACCAGAAGUCUCCCACGAGGCUCCAGCACUUCAAAGCGCUGGUACCCAUCAAUACCUCCAAGAAGGAAUGCGACGAUGACGACGCUACUGCCAAGGGUUUCCUCCGAUACGCGCUGAGGCACGAGGAAGGGUAGCCCCGACGCCCUCCAGGAAGGUUCCACGACACCCAAAGGCGUCACUGCGUCAGCGUCGACCGGACCGACAGGGGAUUCCUCCGAUCCCAACCUGCACCUCAGGCGCUCCGAAGCCUGCCACCAAACCGACCAUCACCCUGCACCAACACGGUCUUGAGGCCCCCUCGUCAUCUCACCACGGCACCGUAAGAAGAGACCUCCACAACGACGAAGAGGAGCCAGGACUAGGAGCAGUACCACCGCCGGCACGCGCGAGGGCUCAACCUCCACCAUCAACGGCGGUAGCCGACCGGACGCAAUAGCAGAAGCAUACCAGGCCAAGCUGGGACCCCCCCCCCCCCGUAAMGCUCCGUCAUCACACUACAACAGGCACGCCUUCGACGACACCGCCCCAMGUCCAAGCUGCUCCUCCUCACCACCACGUAGAAGACAACGCACCCACGUCGUGUGCCGGCCCGCUAGGACCCAAAUGGGCCCCCACAGGGCCCAGCUCUAGGACGGGGACGCGUCGCCGACCACCCCGCACCACCACGCCACCCUGCCGCCAAGGAGCAGCGCUGCCACCUCAUCCAGCAUCGGACAUCGAUUGAAUCUCGAAUCAUAGGAGGAGGAUGAAGACGGGGAGGGGAAGCUCGGACAAAUCCUGCCUCCCUGGGCACAAGGAGCUGGUCAGAGAAGGCGGCGGAGGCGGAGCGCGAGGAGGAGGAGGAGGAGGAGUUGGCGGCGUCCUGCGUCGCCGCCUGCAGCCUCCCCACCGCCGACGAAGCAGAAGGUAUCUUCGCGGAUGCUGACUCCUCUGCUCUCAGGCCUCGCCGGGGGUCGAGCUAGCUAGGGUUUAGCGGCGGAGCCUGGCGAGGGAGGCAAGGAAUUUUCUUCUCCCUCUUUUCUCGGAUGGGGGAGGUAAUUAGAGUGGUGGAUAUUUUUUUUUCCUUUGUCUUUUUCUUUUCUUGUAGGAGAAGAAGAAGAAACGACGGGUCGGAGAAGGAAGGAAAGAUGAGGUCGAUUCGGGUAUGGGCCGGGCCGUGCCGGUGCUGGGUUUGGCAAUAGGCCGUGUCCAUUUUCUCUGUGAUUCAUUUUUGGGGCCGAAAAUUUAACAAUUAAGAAUUCGAAUUGUUUGGGGUUUGAAUCCUUCAUCAAGAAGAAAUAAAAUCGAACAUCAAUAUAGACGGAGCGUCGCUCAGCGAUAUCUUAUUGCAAGACGCGUUCAAUACAACCAACACGUGAGCCACGGGGCAUGUCAGGGCCACAUAGGCUGACACGCCAAACUCCCCCAAGCCCAAGGACAUGUGCUAAAAAAUAUAAUUUCUCUAUUAAACAGAUGUCAGAUUUUAAAGCAUGCAUAUCUCACGCACGCGAUGAUAAACUAUAUUAUGGCGAGCAUGACAAUUUCUUCGGCGAGCAUCUCACAUUGAUGCUUAAAAUCUGGCGUCAUAUUUUUAACAUUUUUUAAAUUAGUCAAUUGAUGGUUAGAGCACCAUCUCACGUAGCUCAAUAGGGUGAUAUAGAGAGAUUCGAAAGUGAGGCAACGUAAGUGUAUGCUCGCGCACGGUCAUUGAAAUGGAAAUCCCGUCACUAUCCCCGAGCCCAUCGCGCGUCGUCGUCCCCGAGCCCAUCAUCGUCGCCGUCGUCGUCGCCGUCGCCCCCGAGCCCAUCGUCGUCGUUGUCGUCGCCCGUCGUCGCCAUCGCCGUAGCCCCCGAGACCAUCACAGUCGUCGUCGUCGCCCGUCGCCCGUCGUCAUUCUAAAACCCGCCGUCGUCGCCCAUCAACGCACCGGUAGCACGUCCAUCUCCAUCUCCCUAUAUUGUGAAUCCAUGUGUGAAGAGACGUAGUCUAAUUGCGAAUCCAUGUGUGUGUAUUUCAUUCUUAUUAGAAUAUGUUGGGUACAUUUUUGAACUCCCCAAUGUGACACAAGUUAUAGAAAUUAUACAAAUAUUUAGAUUAGAUUAAGUUAAAAUAGCAAAUAAAGUUAUAAAAAAAAUAGAUUAGAUUAAGUUAUAAAUUAAGUUUCUAUGUUUAGUUUUUAUCUUAUUUUUAUUAGUUUUAAUAAAAAUUAUUUUAUCGAAAAAGGGCUUCCCCCACUUUGUAAUAUUUGCACAAACAAUGGAUAAUCCAAGAGACAUGGACCAAGAACAAAUUUUGGGGGAUAUAAUCCAUGGCGACAGUAAUGUCGAUUUUUUUUCCUCAGCGACAUCAAUGGUCUGAAAGGAGAGAAUUACGGCUCCGGUGAUCGAACAAUGGAGGAGGAAGGACAUUAUCAUGAUGGCUUCGGUGAAUACCGAAUCCCGGAGGAAGGAGACCAUGAUGACGGCUCCGGUGACUGAAUGGAGGAGGGAGAUAUUGAAAAGUCCGGAUCGAGCCAAACUUCGGUAAUGAGACGAGGCCCGAAGAGAAGGUUUGAGCAAGGAUCAAAAGUUCACGAUCACAGCACUCGCGGACGAUGGCCUACCGAUUGAACCCAAGCGGACCAAGGACGCAUUUUCUUCUCAGUGCAGAGCUAUUGUCAAGGACAACAUCCCAAUCAGCAUCAAGCAAUGGAAUAAGCCUAAGGGCGACGACGUCCCUAAAGGUGAUUAUGUCACUGAUAGGAAGAAAGAUGAUCUUUGGACCGCGCUGAAGGAAAAUUUCACCCUACCACCAGAGGAGGAUCCAAAUAAGCCAGUUAUAGAGCCACUGGUCAAGGCGUGUGCUCUUAAGAAGAUGACAGAUCUAUUUAGAAGGUGGAAGAAUGAGUUGAAAUCAAAGUUUGUCGACAAAGGGAAGACUCCAGAAUUCGUCGGUCGAUUUGAGAAGAUGAAAGAUCACUGACCCGCAUUUGUGGCCUACAAGACAUCGGACAAGAGUAAGAAAAUAUCAGAGACAAACAAGAACAAUGUUGCAAAGAAGCAGUAUCACCAUCACACGGGGCCAGGUGGCUACCUCAAAGGCUGUCCGUUGUGGGACAAAGCUGAGAAUGACGUGAUUGCUAAAGGGGUCCAACCACAGACAUGGAACUGGCCCGACCGUUCAAGGAAUUGGUUUUUCGGGGUUGGGGGAACUUUGGACCCUGAAACAGGGAAGUGUCGUUGGACGGACGAGCAACUUGCAACACCCAUCAACAAGCUUCACAAGUGUAUCGCCGCAGCGCAGGAAGGGACGUUCUUUCCCGACAAAGAGAAGGACGAGCUGACUGAGGCCCUAGGGAAUGCUGAGCACCCUGGACGAACACGAGGCACACCAGGCUCCAUUCCGUGGAAGGUUGGGUUUCCCGACCCAGCCGGUUACAGAAGCCGAGAGAGAAAGAGGAAAGCGAAGCUGAGCAACAUGCAGAAGAUCAAUGCAAGACUACAAAUUCUAGAGGAACUUCAAAGCCAGCGAACUGCCGACCAACCAUCUCAGCGACACGAAACUACCCCAAAAGUUACCCCACCAUCUCAGCGGAGAAGCAGCGUGGCUUCCACGGAGCUCGUUUAGUCUGACUUCACGGCUCCUAGCUAUCCCGUGGAUACUAUCACAGAGUAUCAACCUUGCGAUCUUUGGACGAAAUGCCGAAACCUCACUUUUAAGGUUGCUAUCGGCUAUGUUGCACCUCCUCAACCCAACGGAACUUUUCACUGCCUUCCGAUUCCACGUGGCUUUGCUAUUGUGAUGGUGGAUGAAGUAAAGGAGGGAUUUGAGCAGCUCAAGCUUGACCAGCCUACAGGUGAAGGGGAGAAUAAGCUGGUUCAUGCUGUGAGGAGUAUAUGUCGUCUAUGGCCGAAGGAGUACAUCAAGCUUCCAAACUGGACGCCUCCUCCUCCUCCUCCUCUGGUGAGUGAUUAGGGCACUCCUCAUCCUCCUCCGACGUGUGAGGGCUCUCCGCCUCCUUCUUGGACUCCCCCUCCAGCGCGUCGAAGCAGUCCGCCUCCUACUUCAGCUCCUCCUCCGGCGCAUCGGAGCACUCCGCCUCCUUCUUCGGCUCCUCCUCCGGCGCGUCGGAGCACUCCGCCUCCUUCUUCGGCUCCUCUGGCGCGUCGGAGCAGUCCUCCUCCUUCGGCUCCUCCUCAGGCGCGUCGGACCAAUCUGCCUCCUCCGCAACGGCGGAAGACAGACGUCGUCGCUGCUUCGCCGAAAUUACACAAGUAAGAAAUAUGUCGCCUCCUCCUCCUUCUCUCAAGCGGAAGAUAGACUCCGCCGCCGCUUUGGCGGCUAGCGGUGAUGCAAGGUUAGCAAAAUGAAGAAGUAGGAAAACAAUUCCCCAGCUCGGCCAACAGAAGAAGCAAUCAUGCCCCCCGCUCAAGGUGUCUAGUGAUAUCAUCGUCGCUAAUGAUCCGAGGUUGCUGCCCGGUACCAAUCCUGGUGAUUACAUGAAAGAUUCAGUAAUUUUUUAUAUAGCUGAGGUAACAAAUAAAGAAAAAUAUGAAUACGUGCAUGUGAAGCCUCUCAUCAAACUUGGUCAUCCUCCUCUAACACCGAGGAUGCACGAAUUGCAUGAGUGGUAUAUGAACAUCUUCACGGAGUCUGGAAAAGACGCUAUCGAUAUGGUAGUGAAAAAAGAUAACGAUUUCAUUGGAACUUCAGUGAUGUUUGUUCAAUUUGAGGAGUUAUUUCAGUUAUACAAUCAACUGACCCUCGACAAACAACUCCUGAGUUCCUACUGCUUGUAAGUAUUACUUCUAUAGUUAAGUCUCUAGCUCGGCUCGUUUAUGGCAUGUAUAUAUAAUUAUCCUCACUAUAUAUAUUAUGCAGAUUGAAGAUCGUCGAAUUAAAAAAAGCAGGAAUCUUUGACGUUGGGUUCAUUAGCCCAGAAGCCGUAAAUGUAUUGUCGGUACGAAAUGAAACCAAAAAGACCGAGGUUAGCUUGCUAAACUCGUUGCAUGGAAAUCAAAACAAAAGGGAAAUACUCUUUCUGUACAACUUCAAGUGAGUGUUGCUGUCUUCUCUGUAUACUCGGUUUCGCUUACUCAAGGUUAAGUAAAUGUAAUUGAUGAGUUAUAUAUGCGUGCGCAGUUACCACUUUAUUCUGCUACCCAUUAAGCUUGACGGGGCAAAAGUAACUGUCUUAGACUCGAGACGUAAAGAUCCCGAGGAUUAUGCGGACAUGACCGCAAUACUCAAGAAGUAAGUUCAGUCAAUACCAGGACCAUACCGGCAUGCAAAUUUUGUUAAUUUCCUGAUAUCAAGUAAUCACUUUCUUUGCCUCGCAAGGUUUGGAAGAAGUUCACCUUAAAGUCUCCCGAUCUAAACAAAGAGUUGCAAUUUACGCACACCCAGUAAGUAGUACUAGCUAGUUCCGCGCAUCUCUAAUUAAUUUAAAUUUUCAUCAAUAUAUCAUUACCAUGCUUGCUUAUCAGUUUGAUUAAACUCUAUUCUCGUAAAGUGCUUGUACCAGGUAGCUGGGACUGAAAAAUGUGCAUACCACGUAUGCGAGUUCAUUCGCCUCUGGCCUUUGGGCGGGGCAUCUCUAACAAACAAUUUGAAGUACGCAAAUAAUAUUCACAAUUUUAUUUUAUAUAUUACCAUCAAUUGUGUUGAGUUUUAUUCAUAUAUAUGCAUGUAUUGAUCCCCUUUUCUAAAUUAGAUCUGGAAGAAGCUGGAUGAACCCCUAUCAAAUGAUGGCAUACGAGCAAUUCAAGAGGAAUUGACGGGAUUCUUUCUUGUCCACGUCAUACCUAAAGACGGAGAAUACCAUAUGAGCUAUUUGUGAUUGGAUCUUAGGUAGAUGAUGUUAAGCAUUGUAAAAGACGUUAUACUGUAAAAUAUGUUAGGGACUGUAAAAGGUUUUCUUCAUUUUCUUAUUAGCUAGCGUCAUGUUCUCUCUAUAUGUAUAAUAGUUAGCGUCGACCAAGCACGGAGAAAGAGAUGACACUUCUCUCUAUUAGCUAGCUAACACAAUAUGAAACCACUAAAUUAACCCUCCAAAAAACCCCCCCGCCCGACCCCUCCUAAACCAAAACCUAAAAAACCCAAAAAACCCGAAACCUACGACCCGUACCGACGACGUCGACUCGGACGUACGGUCGUACGUCGUACUCCGUAGUUUCCGGGUUACGGUUCCGGGUUUGGUACGUACCCGGAACCCGGUAAACCGGUAAACCCGGACCGGUUCCCCGUACCGGUCCCCGGGUCCCGGGUCCCCCGACCCGGUACCGCCGGGACCCGUCCCGGGUACGGGUACGGUACCCCGUACCCGGGUUCCCCGUACCCGGUUUACGGGUAACGGUACCGGUAAACCGGUACGUAAACCNAGGGCUAAUGAGCCUCUGAAACCGGGACAAAUGGGCCUUUUUCUACUAGUGAUGUGUGACAAGUACAAAAAUCAACUCACUUGAUGCACACCGCACCCACUUUUUUCAUGUAUAGUCAUGGUGAUGCAUACGACCAGGUUUAUUAAUAAUUUAAUAAAGGUCUGAUAAAAUUGUACAUCAAGUCACUCAAAAUCAUCACUUACCCUUACAAACUUGAUAAUUCGAAGUGUUCUUACUCCUCAUAUCUAAAGCCGAUGGCGACGUCGAUCCAUAUAAUGUAUCGAAAACAACCAUUGGUGCAGCAAAUCUAAAAUAUACACCACAUGUACACGUUUUAGAAGUCAUCAUCAUCAUUGAGCCACUGUCCCAUCUUCAGGAUAGAUAUCCGCAUCAUCCUUGCCAGUCCGGCCAUCCGUCGACGCCACCGCAGCGUCCAACGACGCCACCGCCCUGCACUCGUCCAUUCUGAUGCAGAGACUCUGAAAGAUCUGUCAUGCGUAGCACCUACCGAACAUGCAUAGCAUAGCAUAGCACCUGUCGACCAGACAUGACUCGAUCUCCACCAAAGCUCCAUUCUAGACGAAGCCACUCCGCCUCCUACCUAUGCCUUCCAGCGUUGCUUCACAAAUGAUGCUCCCAAGAGAGAAACAACACCGUAGUGCCGCCAUCGCCUAAUCUAGAAAACCAGAUCCUAGGGUUUCCCCCGGAACAACACGAUUGGGUCGACAAUAGUUAUACGAUGAUGCCUACAUCAAGGUAGCGGCGCAGAACACCAACAUCGCUUGCCGUCGGCUCGGUUUUCACCGGUAACUAUGUCUCUCCGACUCGUAGCCGAGACUAGAUGAUGGAUCUCAAGAUCCGAUCACCCAACCUCACGUUGAUCACCUACAACAGAGGAGAUGACCACCAUUGCCGGCUGCACCGACCAGAACGGAUUUGACCGAAAAUGCCGCUGAGUAGUCCAUCAGACCAUCCACGCCGCCGCCGAUCCGAAGCCAGACUGUGCGCCGCCGCGGCAUAGCCAGCCGCCGCCCCUCGAACCAGGCCAGGCGCCGCACGUCGCCGCUCGUAACCAGGUUGCCCUACGCACAUGCAACCGCUAUCGUCCAAGGCAUUGCUGGCCACCUCCACCGUCGCGCUGCAGCCAUUGCCACCACUCCACUAGAUCGGUCGCGCCUCCACGCGUGUAAGGACCCCCGCACCAUCCCUGAGACAUGGGAGAAAGGGAGUCCCUCGCCGCCGUCGUCGGCCCUGGGGCAUAGCCCGGCAACGUCCCCCCACGUCGACGGAGGAGAGGGAGGAGAAGGGAGUGUGCGCCUCCCGGUGGCUAGGGUUUGAAUGCCGCCCGAGUCACCCUAGCGGGGACGAUGCCGUGGUGUAGAUCCGCAGCCAAGGCCAGGAGUGCUUCCUAACUAGAGGAACAGAAGUUGAAGUUCACAAACCACACUAACACCAGCCUAGAGAAACCAGGAGGACAGGGUGAGUUUCGUAUGGCCGGAAAUGUACAAAAGGAGUCCCUCGUUCAGGAUUCGGUAUUGUCAAUUUUUUCAUUCCUUAUUAGUCGAUUUUCUUUCUUCCUUCCACUAUUACAUAACCUGCCUUUGUGGUGAUAGAAAUACCACUGACUUCUGUGACUUUGUUGGACAAUCGUUGUCAACUUUUAGUGCUCCUUUGAUUCACAGUAUUCCAGAAACAUAGGAAUAGGAAAAACAUAGGAUUGCAAUGUCAUAGCCAUAUGAAUCCUACAGGGUUUUGGUUUGUUUGAUUGUUUCACAAAAAAGUCAGGAUAUUUUUCAAGAGAUUUGAGUGGAAAAUAAAAUUUAUGUGGAUUGUCGUUACAAGAGAAUCCUUAGGCCUCGUUUGGUUAAGGGGAAUUUGGGAGGUUUUGAGAGGGAGGGAUUCCAGGGGAUUGGGUGAAUCCCUUUCUUCCACCCAAUCCUCUCAAAUCCCCGGGGCUUUGCUUCCACUAGUCCCUCCAGGAGGGUUUUGAAACACAUGGAUAUGAAGGGAUUGAAGGGGAACAGAGGGGAUUGGGCUAAGCAAACCCCUCCUAUCAAAUGGACGCCCGAGGAUUUGUGGGGUUUCUGGCCCUCCCGGGGAUUUUCCUCUCUAAACCUCCUCAAUCCCCCUUAACCAAAUGAGGCCUUAGAAAAAAUUAUUGUAGAAUACAAUCCUAUGUAUCGAACGACGAAUGAUUGGGGAGGCUCCCGGGACGCGUGUCUCGGGAGGAGAUCUCGCCGCCGCCGCCAGAGACCCCACCUCGCCGCCGCCUGAGGGCAUGGAAGGGCGGGGCGGCGGUGGCAGGGCGACUUCUCCUCUUCGCUUGGUGGCGGGGUGGCGCGGGACGUCGCAUCCAGGCAGAGGCGCGGCAUGUGCGGGGGGCGCAGCGGCGCGACGACUGGCCUCCAGGCGACGACAACGUCGCCUAGUCGUGGUGGUUGUGCGGGUGGCUCCGUGUUUGCGAGCGUGGCCGGGGUGGCACUGGCGGCCAAGGCUGGGUAUGCCUGCAUCUAGCUCCUAGUGUGCUUUCGGGAGGCUUGGGCUCGAUGGCGGCCGCGCCUGGUCGGCUCGCGUGGGAGCUCGGCUGGUGGUGGAUUUGGUUGCCGCUGCACCUCGUGGUCGGUUCUGCAGAAGAUGGUGGUGGAUGGCGCCGGAUCUGAGAGGUGAUCCUGGCGGACGGUGGCACGGGUUGGUGGCGGUGGUGGCGGUAUGUGCCAGACGGAUUUUGUGUCUUCUGGUGGGCGGCACGUGUUGUGGCACCGGCCCGGCGCGGAUGGUGCUCUGGCCGUGGGCGGCGGCGCGGGGAGGUCUGGUGCAUGGGCGAUGGCUUCCCUGUUGCGCGGCACUGCACGGUAGCUCAGCGGCUCUGCCAAUGGCGAUAGUCGGCUUCUACUCUAGCGUCGUAUCGUCUUCGGUUGGACCGUGUCGACCUUCGCUUAAUCUCCUCGUCAUCCGAGCUCUAUUUCUUUCGAAGGGUUGGCCCUCUCCCAGCGCGGUCCAUCACUCUCCUCGCGCCCGGUGCGGCAGGACCGACCUCGUCUCGUGCAUGGUGCAGUAGGACCGAGCUCGUCUCACACACGGUGUCGUAGGGCCGAGCUCGUCUCGCACACGGUGCUACAAGAUGAGCCGAUGGAGGCUAUUUUUGGCCGGUCUAGUGGGUGUCGGUGCUGGGGCUGCCCAGGGGUAGGAAAGACAGGACCUUUCCACUCGUCUCUUUUGUUGGGGCAGUGGUGGAUCUCGGGUGAGGUGGUGUUAAGGUCUUGAAUACCAGGGCGGCGGCCCUGGAGGUGGUUGCGCGGUGCUCAUGGGCAGAGCCCGUGGCUUGCUGCUACUUGGUGGCCAUGUCCAUGUGGGCGCUGUGGUAGCCGGGGUGUGGCGAUCAGUGGUCGUGAGUGUUGGCCAAGGUGAAAACAUGUCCUAUCUUUGGACGGACCGAUGGCGGUGAAGCUUGUUCCCUUCUUGAAGGCGUCGUUGCGGCUCUCAUCGCCCGUCGUGCUCCUCCAGAGGAAACUUUGAUCCUUCGAUCAGGCGGUGACGGCGCUCCGGGGUCGUAUCCUUCCUGAACGCACUCAUUCAUUCGCGGUGGCGUGUUCCCGGUUGAGACCCCGGUUCGUCGUAUGCGGCUUCAUUUCUUCGUGGUGGCAUGUUCCCGGUUGAGCCCCCGGUUCGUCGUAUGCGGCUUCGUUUCUUCGUGGUGGCAUGUUCCCGGUUGAGCCCCGGGUUGCUCUUGUAGUGCUAGGGAUAGUGUUGCAGCGUUCAUUGCCUAUAUGUCAUGCCUUGGGUGUGUGCAUGUGUUGGGGUGGCGUGCAUUUGUACCGAGAUGUUGUUGUUUGCUGUUUUAUAUAUAAAACGGGGCGAAAGCCUCUCGGCCUUCACUUACCACUGAGGAAACAGAAACGCUCGCGACGCCUCCAGGGGGGCGACUCGGGCGCCCUAGCCGCCGCCGACCUCGACCUCCCUCCUCCCCUGCUUCCCCAUCGCCGCCGGAGGAGGCCGGCGAGCGAAGCUCGCCCGGCGGACGGUGGACGGCGGGCCUUCCUCCCUUCUUCACGAGGGGAUUCUCUGGCUGAGAUGCGACGGCGUCCCUGGGUGUACGACAUGGAGGCGGAGUUGGCGCUCUCGGGCGGCGGCCCGAUGGGAUCCUGGCGGCGCUCCGGGGGCUGCCGGCAGAUCUGGGGUUCACAACCCCAGAUCGGUUCUCCUUCUCGGAUGAUGCUGGAUCUGAACAAGGUGGUGGUGCCAUCCCGUUCGUCAGGGAUGACGGUCAGGUGGUGGGUCCUUGUGGUGUUGCGGUGGCGGCGGAUCUUGGGAUCCCGCUCCCGGGGACGUCGCAGGAUGUGGUGGCCCGUGCAGGAGAGAUGGGUUCUUCGAACAGAUCUGGGUAAAAGCUUGCUUUCGGCUACUGCCAAAGCCGGCGAUGGCGGCAUUGUCUACGUUGUUUCCUUCCUGAAGGCAUCGCCGAGGAGAAGUUCAAGGCCACUCUUUGCUACCUCUGGGGGAAACUCUAGAUUAGUAGAUCGGAUGACGACGACACUCUCGUGUUGUUUCCCUCUUGGGGGCGUCAUUCAUGGAGGUACGCACGGGCUCGAGGGAUCAUUGGUCGGCAUCAACGGUGGAGCGGCGUUCCUUGUGACACAUCGACGUCGUGGAGUCUCGGCGGCGAGGCGCAGCAAAGUCUCGGAGACGGAUGCGUGAUGAUGAGCGCGCGUAGGGAGGAGGCGCUGUCUGGCGCCGUGGGGGCAUCGACGGCAGGCCUUGCAAGGUCGAUGCGUCAGUAACUCUUCUGAAUAUGGAUUGAUGGAAAGCGGCGGCGACGACCUAUGAGGGUGCGUUGGACCGGUUUGUGCCCCUGACCCGGUAUGUGGCUCGGUCGGGGCCUCCGACUUUAGAUGUUAGGCUAGGUGAGAGGUCUGGGUAUGUGGCUCACACUUUCUACACCCCUUCAUCAUUGGAUAGAGUAGCGACAGAUAUUGCCAAGAGGGCGGCUUCAGAUAUAUUGAUGUAUUGCUUUGUAAGAUCUUUGUGAAUAAUUAAUAAUAUGGCUGCAUGCAUCUUCCAGAUGCACAGGCCGGGGGUCAUCCUCCUUUUCUAAAAAUAAUAAUAAUAAUAAUAAUAAUAAAUCGAACGAGAAAAUAUCCUAAAGGGUUCCAAUCCUUUGAAUCAAUGAGCCCCGUAAGAUAUUGAUAGAUUAAAGACAAUCAGUUGUAGUUAAAUCAAUAGAAACAUAGAAGCGUUGAAACAAAUUCAAGAUGGUAGGCUACAUUCGGAUGCCCCAAAAUAUACCGAUUAUUACCAAAUGUACAAAUUCAAAGGCAUUUGGGAGUUGAAACAACAACUCACAAGCUACCACUUUGGCUUGAUUAAACCGUCAUAUACCUGUCUUUGUUGUGAAACUUCAAAUAUCAUAGGUGCCUUCAUUGUUAGACUCACUUGGCUUCCAUGUGGAUAAUGCAUAGACUAUCCUCCCCUUCCAUCCCAAUACUAGGAAUUGGUCUUCUUCAUCGACAAAGAGAUCUUUGUGAUAAAUCUGUCUGACAAUGUGAUGUAUUCCUUUAACAAUUGUUGGAUUCAGUGGAAGCUGCUCAAACUUGGCCCUGAGGCUUCGUACCUUCCAUUUCUUGUAACUCUCGGGCCUCUCAAUCCUUUCCGAUCCUUCACAUGCAAUGACAUUGAGAAUUUCAUAUUUAUAUAUAUCCCUCUCUAGGAUCAAUCUUGUCUCGUUAUCUCGUGGAGUCGUUUUAUCAAGCAUAUCAAACAGUGAAGCAUAGUGGUACAUGACUUCUUUAAAACGUGAUAAAAAGAAUGGGGUGUUGUAAGAUCCGUUAACAACUCCAUGUAUGAAAACUUUUGGCUUCAUCAUCUUUAUGGUAUUGAGCACUCUGUUCCUGGCGCUGUUGAUGGAUAUUGUUUCAUCAGGAAUAUUCUUCAUUCGGUUUAUACAAUUGACUAUGAGCACUUCACCUUUGUUAAUGUUCAAAUCUUCAAUGGAGAUGGAUUCCCAUUUUGAUGAGAUCUGCCGGUAUUCAAGAGGUACUUUGAACAUGCUGGCAUAUUCAACUAAUCGCAGUUGUGUGUAGUUCUUCCUUCCAUGUGGCUGGAAACCUGGCAGGGGCAGUUCUAUACCUGUAAUCCGAAGCUUAGGUGGCCCACCUUCUCUAUCUGCAAAUUGUUUCAAUAAUGAUGGCCACUGAAAGCCAAAGCAAAUGCCAAAAUCAACAAUGUGCACUUGUGAUUUUCCCUUUGAGACAUCAAGGAUGGUUUUGUUCGAGAAAUAAUAUGAUGAUCUCAAGUAAUGGGAUACUGUGAAACAAAGAUGGAAUAGCUUUAGAAUAUAUGCUGCAUUCCUUGGUGUAGCCAUGAAGUUUCGGUUUAUCUGACUCCCAUUUCCAGACAAUCUUAUCUCCAGGCAAUCUGCUAGGUAAAACGCUAACCUCUGAGUAUCAUCCCCACUUGGUGAAGAAUGCUGUCUUAUGCUUUUAAGUAUGUCACUUGCUAAGUUAUGGUUGUUCACAGAUACUGCUCGUGCACAAUGGAUAAGGAGAGUUCUUAGAUCCACCACCUCUUUCUUCUUUGUUUUACCUCCCUUCUUUUGCCUAGCUGCCUUUCUUCCUUGUUCUUUUUGUGCAUACCUGGUGGAUGUACCUGCCAUGGUUCGUUGCAAAAUAAUACCUUCAUCUAUGGGCUUCUGCUCAGAGCAGAGUAGGACCUUAUCGAAGGCGUCAUUUCGCGUUGGCUCAUCGGAGAAAAGAGCAAUCUGCUUGUUUCUCCUUCCUUCUAACAAAUCAAGCUCUUCUAUACCCGGAAAAACUUUUCGGCCUCGAUCAUGAAAUGGUGCAUGCCUCAUUGUUUCUCUGCUAUUCAUAUGAGGUGAAUGGCUAUCUGGACUCGUAUUUUUGGCAAUGGAAAGGCCAUUGAUGUUCAAACCAAUUUCCACUCUUUCAGAACCUAGAGGGAAUUGUUUUGCCUCUCCAAGAAUUGCAGAUAAAGUACAUGGAGCCUGUGAUGCUUGUGAGUUUUCAUUGGGGUGAUAAUCGUCGGAGCUGAUAUAUACAGAGCAAUUGCAGCAUAAUUGUCCAUGAAGCCUGCUGACGUUGCCAUUUAGGUUCUCUAGGUGACCACAUCCACAACGUGGUAGUAAGUCAGGCAAAAGUGGAUACUUUUGUCCUAAAAGUUCAUAGAAGGGUUCCUCCAUGGUUCUAAUGACAGUCUCGCCAUGAGGUGCUCUGACUUUGUCAUCAAUGUCCUGCAUCAACAUCUGUUCUAUGUAGCUGAGAGUUACAUCAGAGUCGGUCUUUGGGUGCUCCUCACAGCUCACAUUGCAGAAUUGGGGACCAAUCUUGUUGGAAGCAAUUGAUAGUGCAGGAUAGUAGCUCAUAGGGGCUGGUUGAUGCGAAAUAAACUCCGAAUCAUUGUACUUGACGGUACUUGCUUCUAUGAGCUCCUGAGAACAGCAUGCGCCACAGCAAGUCAUGUUUGCCAUGAUGCCGUGAAAAUCAGCCGAGCUGGGCUUGUCACUGGUACCCAUGGUGGUUGAUACAAUUUUUGCAGUGUCUAUGGCUGCACUUUGCUCCACAUUUUCCUGGAUUAAAUGAAGUGUGAACAGCAGAAGAACAAAAGGAGGAAGCUGGAAUACACGAGAUAUUCCUCUAGUACAUCAAGCUGAAAUUAAUAUGAAAGACAUUGUGUGGUCAUGUGGUGUUAUGCUUUGUGAGCAGUCUCCAUGUGGUUUGUUUGUACCGGUCUUCAUCCGAUUUUUCGUUAAUUAAUUGAGCAAUUCUCUUGUGCUUUAUUAAUUGACGAGGCAAAUCUUUUGUUUCCGUUUCAAUUUUGAAAUAAUAAUAAUAUAGGAGACAUUGACAUCUUUCCUAGGAUUUAUUGAAGUGAUACCAAGAUUUUAUUAACAAACACGUGGGUGAGGGGGGGGGGGGGMCGUAUAUCAUUCAGAAGCGCCAUUUCUGCCGGGACUCACAGUGGGUGAUAGCCAAUUUCAGAACUUAAAAAGGAUGCAUAUACGAGUUAGUAUGCUACUAGAAACCACGGUAACAGAUCAUUAUUAUUUUUUAUUUUCAAGAUCACAGUAACAGUUCAUGGCUAUGGAAAAAUCAUAACCAGACAUCACGCCUAGCUGCUUAAGAAGUAUCUCCGAUAAUGGACAUGUUAAGACAUUAUCAGCAAAAAUGAAAAGAGUGACUUACCAUUGAUUAUUGCCUGCAGGGAUGACACAAAAUUCCGCAGGCUGCCAGAAUUCGCUGGACUGGUCGCCUUAUGAGAUUGUGGACUUGAAAUGAAUCGAAAGCCAGGGGCGUGUCGGAAGGAGGAUGGAACGGGCUAAGCGGCACUAUUUCAAGUGUGCUGAGGGAAGCAACAAGCAAGAAGAGGAUGUCUGAUGUUUUAUGUGAGCUGAUGGUGAGUUCGCCGAGGUAUGGACGUUGAUAUAGUGAUGGAAUUCAUCGUUGUGAUGACCUGUACCGAUGCCGGAGGCAGAAACAAACAAGAUCUGCAGAUAGGCUAGCUAGGCGGCAUUAUGGAGGCCAAUCGACUGUGUCAAACGCCAAUUAGGCUAAUGGAUUUGUUUAUUGCAGUUGUGGAAGCUGGAGCCUUUGGAUCCUCAGCGAGGCUCGAAGUAUGCUAAAUAUGGUUCCUACAGCUCCUAUGCAAAACAUUGUGGUCGUGUGCAAGUAAGCAGUGGCGUGGAUCCGGUCCAUUGGGGCCAACAUUGAAAAUGAUCAUAUAAAUUUAGUUAUUUUUAUUUGAUUGCUCAAAAUAAAUAUUUCAAUUUUUUGAACAUUUUCCUAAGAUAAUAAUAAGGCUAUUGAAGAAAAAAAAACUCUAGCUCCACCAAACUAUUUCGAUGAUCAUGUCGAUUUGUCCGCUGUCCAAUGGUUGUCACCACUCACCACUCACCAAUCUUGUUGUGCUCAGACAGCAGCCCCUGACGCCCUUCCACCCGCUUCGGAGCUGCAGAUCACAACUUGAUUUUAACAUGGGUUUGAAGGAGGAGUAAGCCACAUGUGCAGAGAAGAAUACUUGAUGUGCACUAUAUAUAUCGCUUGUUGAUGCUCAUGGAUGAAUUUCUUUUUAUCAUGCUUACAUUCGGAUUUGUUCGGACUUGUUUUUCAACAUGAAAACCCAUGAUCUAGUUUUCGAUGGUUUGAUCCGACGAUGAGCCCCUUGAUUGUCAUUCCAUUACUGAAGGCUUGCUGCUGAAGAGUCCUUCUCAUUAUUCUGGUGAUGUUAAAACAUUGUUGAAACGGAUAUGAUUGCUCUUGUAGAUUAUUGAUCAUUGAUACUGAACAGUGAUUAUGUAUGCUUAGUAUGUAUGUGCAAAGAUGGCUUAUGUAUGGUCGAAAAGAUGACUAUCAUACAAACAUAACACAAAAAUAAUUAUUUAGGGACAGUUCAGGAAAAAACAUCCUUCAAAUAAUUCAUGUAACUUCUACUCCCUCCGUUCCUAAAUAUACGUCUUUCUAGAGGUUUCACUAAUGGACUACAUACGGAUGUAUAUAGACAUACUUUAGAGUAUAGAUUCACUCAUUUUGCUCCGCAUGUAGACACCUAUUGAAAUAUCUUAAAAGACUUAUAUUUAGCUAUGGAGGGAGUAGGUUGCAUUUGCUUUUUGCCCCUUUGCAAAUUAUUCAAAAACGUUGUACAUACAAUGCUUUUUGCAGACGGUACUUUAGGCUCAGGUUGCAAAGAAGGUCAGAAGUGC